CUGCUUUCUUUUCAGGAUUUCGUCACUCUCUCUGCUGCCUAUAUAUCUCCAAAUUAUGCAGAUAACUCCCACCACCUUCACUUGGUUGGGCUUCCUCAUGGUUCCUACCAUUUCAUUCCUUUCUUGCUUCAUUGGUUUCUUCUCCCAGCUGACCCAAAGUUGUUUCAUAACCCACUCAUCCCUUCUCCCAUAGCAUCAUGUAUUCGCCAAUUAAUCGUCAUGGCUAUGAUGCAACUGCAAGUCUCUGUUUAACUAGUGCAUUGAGGUGUUGUUGGGCAAGAAAUUACGAAGGUUUAGAGGAAGAGGGAGGGGAAUGGUCAAGAAAGAGGAAACUGAGGAUUGCAAAGGUUCAAGAAGAUCUCACUGCAAAUGCCAUCAGACCUUCUAGAAUGAAGGCUGAGAUGUUGAGAGAGAAGAUGAUAAACAUAUACGAGCAGUGGGUUAAAAACUGUUUUUAGAGGCUAGAUUUAAAUAGAGACAAAAAAGGCUUAACAUGGCCAUAAAUAUGAACGCGUUGGGUAGCAUGUACCUCUAUUAGAUGGAGGUAGCAGGAGAUGCAGGUACCCGGUGGUGGAACAGUCAAGGUCUCAAGGACCUCAAGGUGUGUGCAAACUAGCAUUAUUAUUAUGCUAACAUUAUCUUAUUCUGAAAUUUUGUAACUACUCACUUUUAUUUUUUGUUUACUAUUUUUACUGCCAGUACUUUUCUUUCUUCAAUAAUUUCACUAUAGCAUUUUACUCUUGCAUUUCUUUCAAACAUGUUCUGAAAAACAAUUUUCUAGAGUCGAUGGGUUUACCGGAAACUGCCUAUCUAUCCUACAAAGGCAGGGGUAAGGUAUGCGUUCAUCCACACUCCCCAGAUCCCCUAUACUGAAUAUGUUGUUAAAUGAUUUAUGUGAAGUGCUUCUGUAGUCUUUAAAGACCAACUGUAAUCAGGAUAGAUUGUGCCUGAAAUCAUUUCAACCUUCACCAAACUAAGAUUAUUAAACUAGAGUAAGUUCGUUUAUGUGAACCUAGACUGAGGACCGCACUUAACAUAAAUUCAAGACUGAACCACUACUUAGAAUAUGCUUCAUCAGUUAGAAACAAGACACAAACCUUCCGAGCAGCAAGCUUAUACUUCUUUGCCUCCAAGUUAGCCACCCCAGCAGCGCAACGAAGUUUUGCAACUGUAACAGCAUCUAGAGCAUCUUGGCUCUGCUCCGCUUUACUAACAUAGCUUGUCACAUGUGUGAACUGGCCCAUCUCAAUGCUGACCAGAAUCGCAUUCAAACACAUAUGAAUUAUGUGUUUUGCAGUUGUGCAAUAAUCACGUGUACGAACAUAAUUCUUAAAUGCCUCUCCAAGCUGUCCAUGUGCAUAGUAGUAAUCUCCAAAAUCAUUGUAUCCCAUCCUAAUGCUCUCUUUGAUCAGAUUUGUCUACACAGAAAGGUCAAAUGAGUUCCGCUUAAGCAAUAAAAUCACAGAUAUAUGAUAAGUCAAACAAAAAGCUAACAAAAUAAUGACAUGACAUAGCUAAAAAAGGAAAUCUAAUGGAAAGGUGCAUGGCUUCGCAGAUAAAGGGUAAGCUUACUCAAAAAGAACUGUUACGUGUUAGGUUCAUACAUAGGAAAUACGUCAAUAUCAUAAUAGAAAGCCUGGUCACUAAUAUGUCAACUUCUUGAUUGCUUUUGUAACUAUGGAUCUUAUUGAUGCCUUAAUUAAUGUUAUAAAAUUGCUUCAUCAAAAAACAUGUCAACUUCCGACACAGUUAUGAGUUAAACUAUUAAAGGGGAUAUAAUGGCAAGAAAAAAACGAAUGGAAUGCUAGACUAGUCCAUAAUCUGUGAGAUCGAUGUAGAUGGCAAUAAGAAAUCUCUUCUGUUUCACUAGUAUUUUGGUGAGGAGAAAAUACCAUCUUGUACGGAUGUUCGGGCAAACUCAAGCUCAGUGGAAGAUGAUGGAUUCAUCGAGAAGAGUCACACGCAGACAUGCAUGUCUUUUACCUUUAUUGAAGAAAAUUUUGGACUUACCGAACCAAAAAAACAAUUGGCCUGAUCUAAUAAAAUUUGAAACAAAUGUACUUUGGAGUAAGAAGAGUAAUCUGUAUUAGCAUGAAAAUGGAAAAAAGUAGAAACAUAAUUCUUCAAAAAGUACUUCUAGUUCCCCCAAAAUCCAGAUCACUCAAGAAAUUCUAACAAUAUUGAUCAAUCUCAAGCCAACUUGGCUAGCACCUUUGACAAUCCCCACUUAAUCUUCCCUUUAGGCAAAGGAAACAUAUUGUAAGGGUACGUGUUACAAACCCUGCAUCAUCAAAUAAACCAAACAACAGAGGGGAAGUUUUUCGUGAAAUGCAGGCCAGAACACAAAGAGGAUACAGGUUUAUAAACUUACAAAUACGAGCCUUUAUGGUUUCUUUUCUUUUUUUCCUUUUUUGGUAAUGAAUUGGAAAUGGUUUGAUUAUUUCUUUUUAAGUCAAAAUUUUCAUUGACAUACAGUCGGAACUACACAUAAAUCAGACACCAUUACUUACAAAAAACUUUACUAAGAAUUAAGAUACUCUUGUGUGGCUAAUGUGUCGUGAUGAAAAAAUUUGGCUAGGCACGUUUAACUCUUCAAUCAUAUCAUAACAUGUUUGUUGCAUCAGCUAAACCAAAUGGAUACAUCCCUAAGUAUGCACAUUACAAUUGAGCAAGAAAAAAUAAAAGAACAAAGAAAAAACAAUAUAUUUAUUUUGAUAAGGAACACAUAAUAAAAUUCAACACAAACGAGAUACCUAUCACCUCAUACCAGCAACAAGUACCAAAUAACCUAGUGUUUUUUGUCUCGGUUGGAACUUGAAUGUGAGACUUCAUGGUUCUCACCACUUCAUUGUCUACUAGGCCACACCCUUGGGUGCAAUUCUACACAAACAGUAGCCACCACCAUCCUAGUUCCCUUAUACCCCCUUUCCUGAUAUUGAUAAUAUAAGCUGAAUGUUUUCACCAUCUUAAUAUGAACUGCAACUUAAAAAUUUAUAAUUGUAUCAUUUUGUUUCAAAAUAUCUAGGUUUUAAUAUUAAAAAUUUAAUUAAUCUAAUCAUAUUGAGCCCAGGGUCAUCCGGAAACAGCUUCUCUACCUCACCUCUGAGGUAGUGGUAAGGUCUACGUACAAUAUACCCUCCCAAGACCCCUCUUGGUGGGACUAUACUGGGUACUGUUGUUGUUGAUGAUGGUAUUUAGCUUUCAGAGUUACCCAAAUUGAUUAUUAUACCCGAGAAGUGCCGAAAGAAAAACUCACUAACAAUCAAGUAAACAAUAAAGGAUUUCAAUGAAGGCAACGUAGAUUUAUACCCUAUAAGCAUUGAGUUCGUUCUCAAGCUUCUCCUUCCUCAUCUCAGCCCGUCGAUCGACGGCAUCAGCCCAAGCAGGAUCCGGCCCAUAAUUACCACUUAAACAUCCAUCAAUUUUCUGCACAACCUCACGGAACAACUGCGUAUUCUCCCCUUUCUUAAUCUCAUCAUACGCCAUUCUCAAAGCCUCCAAUUGCAUUGAACUAUUGCCACAUCGAUCAGCAAUAAACAGAAGCCUCGUGAUUUUUGUCCGGCCACUGUAUAAGGCAGCGUACGCCUCAAUAUCCAGCUGUUCGCCGCUGAUAAUCGGACGAUGACGCUGCUUGUUUUCAUCGCCGUUGGCGUAGAUCUCGUCGGUUAUUUGCCCCAAUUCCUCGUCGGGUUCCAUCGGAUUCUACAACGUUCGAUCGGAGCUAGGGUUUUUUGCUCACCGAUUUCCGGGAGCAACACUGAGAAGAAGAACAAAAAAAUUGAAGUGAUCCUGCACAAGUUGUGACGUUCCCGAUUUUGUAUACAGCGAAGUAAUGGGCCUUAUAAGCCCGUAUCGUGGCACAAUUCCAACUCUUUUUGCUACUAUGGCCCAGUAAUAAGCAUAAAUAAAGGUAGUAAAAUCAAGUCGGAACCCCAAAAAAGUAUACAUAGAAAAAAAAUAAAAGAAAAAUUACGUGGUCUUGUAAACUUUCCUACUUUAUUUAUGACAGAUCGUGAGGUAGCUGGUCAGAGUUAUGCAACAAGUUAUUAUAAUAAAUAAAUUAAUUAUGAAGAAAUUUUUAUAUUAUUUUAUGUAUGAAUUUUAGUUAUUUAUGUUUUAAUCAUUCAUGUAUUAGUAAGUAUAUCCAACUUAUUCUAUUUUCUAUUAAUAUUACAUAAAUUUCCUCAUAAUUUAUACAUAUUAUAUUUGAAUGUUUAAACUGUCAAUUAGACAUUGAUAUUACUUUUAUGGAUGAAUAACUAUUGUUUGUCCACCUAUCAAAUGUUGUAGAAAUUAUACAUAAUCUAAUAACAUAAACAACUUUACUCUAAUCUAGUAACCAAGCGAACACACAUGGUUUUAUAUCAAUACCUUUGUGUAGUUUAUUUCUCGUUAAUAAUAGCUCACCAGUGAUAAUAACAUUAUUGAAUUUAUUCUAAUAUUUUUAAUAUUUAUAUUUUUAUUAUGUCUUUUUUAGAUUGUUUUUAUGAGGGUUUAUCGAAAGUUCCAAUAUCACUUACAAGGUAAAGUCAAGGUCUGUCUAUACUUUGUCCUCCCCAUACACUGGUAUGUUGUUGUUAUCAUAUGUAAUGUUUUUUUUAAUAGUUUUUGGGGAGCCAACUUUUUUUCAAAUGAGGAUGAAUUUUUACUACGUAUAAUUAAGGAUACUAGUUUAGGUAUACGCGCUUUGUGCGUGUACCUCACUUUAAUGAGUUCAAAUAUUACACUAAAUUAGAUAUUUGUUUAAAUAAUAAAGAUGAAUAUAAUAAUUAAAUUCAAUAUCUUUUGAGUAUGUAAAGAUGGAGAAUUUAUUUAUUAAAUCUAAACUUUACCAAAAAUAUUUUUAAAAGUCGAUCGACAUUUAUGUAUCAUCUAUAUAUAAAUUGCAACAAAAUAAUACAAUGAUCGAGACAUUAAAAUAAUUAAACCUAACAUUUACCAAAAAUAUUUUUAAAAGUCGAUCGAUAUUUAUCUACCAUCUAUAAAUUGCAACAAAAUAAUACAGUGAUCAAGACAUCAAAAUAAUACAAUUAAAUCUAAUCUUUACACACAAAAAAAUUCUCAAAGUCGUCCGACACUCAUCUACCACCUGUAAACAAUAACAAAAUAAUAUGAUAAUAGAGAUAUCAAAAUAAUACAACUAAACCGAACCUUACAUAAAAAAAAUUCCUUAAAGCCGACCAACAUUUAUCUAUCACUUGUAAACUGCAAUAAAAUAAUACGAUAAAAGUGAUAACAAAAUAAUACAAUUGAACUUAAAUUUUACACAUAAAAAAUUCUAAAAAUCGAUCGAGAUUCAUCUACGAGCUGUAAACUAACACAAAUUAACGAACUAAUAGAGAUAUUACUAUAAUACAAUUAAACCUAACCUUUAUCUAAAAAAAUUUUCAAAGCCGACCUACAUUCAUCUAGCAUCUGUAAAUUAAAAUAAAAUAAUAAGAUAAUAAAGAUAUCAAAACAAUACAAUUAAACCUAACUUUUACACAAGAAAUUCUUCAAAGCCAACCGAUAUUAAUCUACGACCUGUAAAAUAUAAAAAAAAUAAUAUAAUAGUGGUCACAAAGCUUCAAUUUUGAUCCAACUAAUUUUUGUCUGAACGAAAAUUUUGACCCUAAAGAAUGAUUUUGUCGAAUUCUAUUAUGCUGACAAAAACAGUGAAGUUGAGGGAUAUAAAAUCAAAGCAUCCACCAAUAUAGACAUGCAAUCGAAUCAAGUUAGAUAAGCAUCAAUCAUAUUCUUCCAAUAGGCAAACCGGUUAUGUAAAGCCUACAAAAGGACUACUACAACUGAAAAAAAGAAGAAGAAGCAUAAAUCAUUCACUUCGCAGAAAUAAAUAAUCUUAAACAAAAAAAAAAAAUUAAACCUAAAUAAAGCACACACGAAAUUUUUUUUAACAAAAAAAAAGUUAAAAUCCUUACUUUGUUGUUUAACUUCAAUAUAAACGCGAACAUCUGCUCACAAUACAACACCCGAAUUACAGAAGUAACUACAACAACAUUAAUUAAAAAAUGAUAAACUAAUUGAAAGAAGAAAACAUAAUUAACAUAUUAACCUUUGGAUAGUAAAAUCUUUUCUAUAUGAUCAUUCAAGAAAAAAAAAAACAAGAAACAUUAUUCAAAGAGAAUUAGCAAAUUAAUAGGAAAAAAUAACGAAUUAACAUAUUAAACUAAUAUUGUUAUUGUCCAUAUUCCAAAAAUUUGUUUGUGUAUAGACGUACAUCCCAAUAUUUACAGAAGUGUUUCCUUAAUAGAGUUCUAUUUUAAGAGUAAUUUUCUAAUUGAACAUAAGAAAAAUAUUAAUUAAUUCUCCAACAUAUAUUUUAGGAAGUCUAGUAGAAAGGAAAAUAUUAGUUAAUUUUACCACCAUAUGUUUUAUGAGUCCCAUAUAUUCUAGGAAGUCUAAUUAAUAUAAUAAAAAAUAAUUAAAUAAUAAAUUAAAAAUAGUGAAAAGACAGUUUUAUCUAAAGAAGAGUCUUUUAGGGUGUGUUUGGUAUGACGGAAAAUGUUUUCCAUGAAAAAUGUUUUCUUAGAAAAUAUUUUCUAGGAAGAUAAAUUAAUUUCUUACUCAUUUUUUCAUGUUUGGUUAGGGAGUAGAAAAUAGAAUUAUGAUGCAUAGGGGCACAAUGAGAAUAGUAGAUUCCAAGGGUUUAGUGGCGGAGGAGGAGAUUACAACUGGUCUGCCUCUUCUGGUAAUUACAAUCAGCAUCAAUAUAGCUCAAAUAUAUCCCAAAAUAAAAAUGUUGCACAGAGUAGCCCUAUGGCAGAAUAUAGGAGGAACCAGUAAUUAGAGAACAACUACAACCAAGAUUUUUCUGCGAGUAGCCAUGUUAAUAAGUAAAUUCCGAAUCAUUAUGAGGAAACGAUUCCAUAUAAUGCAAACGCACAAGAAAUUAAUUAUGAAGCAUACUUUUGAGAUUUUUACAAAAAUCAUAGUCGAGAGAAGAGAUAAGAAAACUCUAAAAUUGAAGAGAAGAGAGUGAAAUAUGCUUCUGAUUUCGAAGAAGGGAGAGUGCAAUUUGUAUUGUUGGGGUGGGGGUUAAGGGCAUUACUCGCGUGCCUCAAUCCGGAAAAUGACUUCCCUUGGCUGAUUAGGGAAGUCAUUUUUUUUCAAAUGGAGGAAAAUGAGCUGCUUUAGAAAAUGUUUCCCCAAUAUUUUCUUGCCACCAAACAAGGGAAAAUAAGAAAAUGUUUUCCACAAAAUAUUUUCCAUCAUACAAAACACAUCCUUAAUGAAGGGCAAAAAGUUCAAAUCACUUUUGUAAGGGUCUUCACACCUUUAAUAGAUUAUAUAGAUAAGGCCUCUAACUUCCCAGUCAUAUAUAAAUAUUUAUCAAAAAUAUCACUCAAUUAUUAUAAAAAAAAAUAUUAGUAAUUAUCAUUAAAGGUUAAUCUUAUAGUAUAUAAUUAAAGAAUUUACGUGAGUCUUUGUCUUACCCAUUCUUAUUUAGUUGUUCUUAACUAAUACGUUCAUAUAAAUAAAAACAUUCAUAGUUAUUGCUCAUAAGUAAACAUAUAUUUAAUAAAUUUUUUUGUUAUUGUACAAAAGGUCCUCUAAUAGACUAUUAACUAGUGAAAUGGACCGCGCUCCGCACAAUAAUAAUAUCAUUUGUUAAAUAUAUAAAAUUUGUGAUAUCCAAGUUUAAAGAAUGUAUUAAGAUUUCUUUUAAUUUAAUGUGUUAAAUUCAUUACAUUAUUUACAAUUUAUUUUAUUGGAUGAUGUAGACAUAUCAUGAGAAUUCAUGCAUCACAAUUUUUUAUUCAAUCACUCAAUACUAUUUAAUUUUUGAAAAAUUGUAGGGGUAGUUUGGUUGGGAAAUUGUUAUCCCAGGAUAACUAAUACUGGUAUUACUCGGGAUAACUUAUCCCAUCAUGUAUAUGGGAUAAGUUAUUCCAUCGCUAUGAGAAAAAUGGUGGGAUAAGUUAUCCCACCAUAGAUUAAUCCUGUUUCCAACAUAAUUUAAUUCAUGAAAAAUAAACUUCAACCACAAAUAAAAAUAUGAAGAAACAACAGUUUUAUUGAUAAACGAUGGAGUACAAAUCUGUUCCUCCCUUGAUUCUUCUCUCUUGAUUUUUUUCGUAAUUCGAGGGCCGUCAGUAACAUAUUUCUCGAAUGUAUGGAGAUUUGGAUAUGAAUUUCUCCGUAAUUCGAGGGCCGUUAGUGGCGUAUUUCUCGAACAUUGAAAUAUUUGGAUUUGAUCUCCAUGAAAGGAGAAUUUGUCUUUUUGAUGUAUUUGACUAUCAAGAAGAGAGGGUUUUGAUCUCUAUGAAUAUCCCAUGAAUUUAUUGGGACUUUUUAGAUCUUUGAUCUAUUUGUGAAUAUUCCGUGAAUUUGUGGGAUACUGGAGAUGCCUCUUUAAAGGGAUAUUUGCCCCUUUUAUAUAGGCGUAAUUAAGGGUUUUGGUCGAGUAGCCAUCAAGCUAGAUUUAGGGUAAAGUAUCCCCCAAGAACUCUAACCAAAAUUGAACUCUUUUUGUAGAGUCCACAAAAUUUCAAUGUCUACAAAUGUCCCCUACUUCAAGGCUUGUCAGAGUGUAGACUUGAUGAAACUUAAAGACGAGUCUUGAAGUACCACUUCCAUCUUUACGAUCCUGCAGCUAUAGAUUUGCAUAUUUGAUUUAUGAGAGAAGAGACGAAGGGCUGAUUUGAUCCCACUGGGCGUGCCAGAAUUUGUUGGACAGUAAAAUUCUCGAAGUCAAAAAAUAAAUAAUAAUUAGAGGCAAGAAAAUAUUGCAACAAUCAAUUUUAUUGAUUUCAAUGCGAGUGUUACAAUCUCUAUGAAUCCUCUGAUUCGCCUUUUCAAAUAUAAAUUCAAUGGCUUAAAGCUUGAUCUUGAAUUUAAACUUGGUUUGUGAACUUGAGGGACUUGAUCUUGACUUGUGUUUGAAUUCAAGGGCUUUUGAGCUUGUUCUUGAAUAUUACGUUCUUGAUCUUGAAUCUUGAUGAACUUGAUUUGAAUGCUUGAGUUUUUUAGAGAAAUUGCGGCGUUUGAUCCACAAGCUUUCUCUUGCUACUUGUUAGAGAUGGGGGUCUGGUCUUUUUUUCUGAAUUAUGAGAACCCUAUUUAUAGUUGUGGAAAGGGAAGAGUCAUGAUAGAGAUGAACUUUCUUUGACCAAUCAAAUUCAAGUGACGUGACACCUUUUAUGGGCUUUUAUUUCAUGGGUCUGCUGCAUCAUUUUGAUAUGUGGCAUGAUCCUAUUGACUCCUUCACUUGACUUGGCAUGCCACGUUAUUUGACAUGUGGCGCUUAUUUGAGCCUCUAGAAUAUGACAAUAUCUUGGGCUUAUUAAAGUGGGCUCAUCAUUUGUAGCCCAAAUCAAUGGACUAACCCAAUAAAUAUUGGAUUUUAUUUAAAUCCAUACAUAUAUGGACUUAAAUAAUUAAUCCAAUUAUAUUAAUCCACAAUAUUUAUUUGGGACUAAUAUAUUUUGAAUUUAAUAUAAUCUAAAUUUUAUAUGGAUUUUAAUUUAAUAAAAUUUCGUUGCAUACAAAAUGCCCCCUACUUCAAGACUUGUCGAGAUAUUUAAAUAUUCAUAGACUAGUCUUAAAGUAAUAAGUUUUAAUUCAGUUGAAAAUCAAGUGACCAGUGCAUGUAUGUUGGUGGAGCAAGGAUGAUUUAAGCAUGUUACAUGAUAACACGAGGGAAUAAUAAUAGUGAUCAAUCAUUAAUAUGUAAUGUUUUACUUCAUCCACUUACAGAAUAACCCUUUAUGGAUUUGAAUUCCACUUUAACUUGACGAAUAGUAAAUCAGAUUCCAUGUUUGAAUUGAAAUCAACUACCUGCCAGUUUUUUUUUUAUUUCACAUGUCUCCAUCAACUUUAUUUAAUACUAGGGAUCAACCACCACUUCUAGUCUCAUUAGGAUUCCCAUGAGUUUGAGUUUACCAUGGAUUAGAAAGCACAAACCGCCUCACGCAUCUAUAAAUACCCAUAAGCAGUAAUUGUUUUUUCUCAUACCUGGACAAACUUCCAAGAUAUCAGUGGCAGCUUCGUGACUGAUUGGUAUCAAUAGCAAGGUAAUUUCUUUUUUUCCUUUCAUGUUAUCUUCUUUUCUUUAUUCUGCUCCCCUUUUUUUUAUUAUUGUUCUACAAAGAAUAAUAUGCAACAACCGGCUUAGGGUGCGAGAGUUUAAAUUCACCUCUAUACACUCUAAGACCGACCAAUUUGACUUCAAGAUGGUGGCUUUUCAACAAUCGGCUUAGGGUGCAAGAGUUUAACUUCGCCUCCGUACACUCUAAGACAGACCAAUUUGACUCUAAGAUGCUGGCUUUGUAAUAAUCGGCUUAGGGUGCGAGAGUUUAACUUCGCCUCCGUACACUCUAAGACUGACCAAUUUGACUCCAAGAUGAUGACUUUUCAACAAUCGGCUUGACUCCAAGAUGAUGACUUUUCAACAAUCGGCUUAGGGUGCAAGAGUUUAACUUUGCCUCCAUACACUCUAAGACCGACCAAUUUGACUCCAAGAUGAUGACUUUUCAACAAUCGGCUUAGGGUGCGAGAGUUUAACUUUGCCUCCAUACACUCUAAGAUCGACCAAUUUGACUCCAAGAUGAUGACUUUUCAACAAUCGACUUAGGGUACGAGAAUUAACUUCGCCUCCGUACACUCUAAGACCGACCAAUUUGACUUUAAGAUGAUGACUUUGCAACAAUCAUCUUAGCAAAAGUUUAUACAGGUAUUUUGCUCAACUUCAACUUGUUUUUAACUAAACCUACCUUGUUUAUGCAGAUUGUAGCAAUGGUUCACUUUAAGGACUAUACCUCUCCAUCCUCCAACAACAAGUAUCUUCUUAUUGAAGCUGAUGAUGGUAUAAUUUUAUCUAAGCUAUUGACUCACACUCCACUGGUCAGUAGGUGUGUAGAUCCAUGGCCGCCCUUGGUGGAUUCUCUUCAUAUGCCAAACUGGACUUUCGAACAUGACCUUGGUUCUAAUCGAUCCGUUAAAGUAUGGACUCUUCAGACUCCGAAUCAAUGUCAACUAGAUGUUGCGAGCACACUUUCUUGCCUAGGGCAUCGAAUACUACAGGGAGAUAUACAUUGGGGAAGUACCAUAGAGGUAGAUGGUGAAUUUCAUCAUAUUCAAGGAUAUUGGGAAUGGGCUGAGGACAUUUUGGCUAAAAGUCCACAAACUUUGAAGGCAACGAAAGUAUAUGAUGUUGUUUAUGAUUCUUUAUUUACCUAUGAUCGAAGUUUAAACAUAUUGCAAGCCUUUCUUGAAGCAUGGUGUUCAAAAACCAAUACGUUGCUGACAUCGGCUGGAGAGCUCUCUAUAUCCCUUUGGGAUUUACAUGAAAUUGGGGGCCUACCUAUUGGAGGUCUUCCACAUGAAGAAGUAGUGCCUGAAUUUAAAGAGCUCAUCGAUGUCAAUGAGAAGAAUGAGAGAUUCAUGCCUCGUACCUGCGAGUUCUUAUUUUUAUCCUUUCAGUGUCUUCAAGAAGGAAAGUCUGAUAAUCCAAUAGUUACUCUAAGCAAGUGGAUAAAGUUUUGGUGUAAAAAAGUCUUGAGAUAUGAGGCAUCUCCAGUGAGGAAUGAGAAAAAAUCUGCUCGCUUGAAGUCAACACAUAACCCAACUGGGACUAUUCUGAAGGCAGCAAAGUGGUCAAGUGCAGAUGAUGCAAUAUUAUCUAAACUUGGAGUAGGGUAUGACUAUAGGGUUGAUACAUAUUUGGCAGCCUUUUUAUCAUGUUGGUUAUGCACCUUUGUGUUUCCUUCUAAGGAUGGAGAUUUCUUUCGUCCGGGAACUUUUAGAAUUGCAGCUAUGAUAGCCAAUAAGCAAACUUUUAGUCUUUCUAUUCUUGUCUUGUCAAGCAUUUAUAAUGGUUUAAACAGGAUUACCAAAGGUUCGCAACUUGAGCACAUCAAAGUAUCCUUUCUGAUCCAUUAUGGGUAUGUUUGGAUUGCUUGUUAUUUCAAGACACAUUUUUCUCUACCUAAUGGGCUAUCCGUUCCAUUAAUGGUAGCAUAUUCUGGAGAAGGUGCUGCAAGAUAUUUUGAUGAAGAGCAUGCCAGAAAGCGUAUCUACCGAGGAGAUAAUAUUUCUUGGACUUCUGCCAUGCCGAACAAGUCCAAUAUUCAUUAUUUUGUAGAUAAUGAUAAAGAAGCUGAUUCAAAGAUAAAUUACUUCAUGAGCCUUUAUUUUAACUUUCUCCUUUUCAGGUAUGAAGAUUCAUUCAUCCUUGAGCCACAUAGCUCGCAUUGAUUUAGCCGUCAGUUUGGAUUUUAUCAAAGCCUCCCUGGUAGCUUAGAAAAUGAUAUUCGCAGUGCAUCACUUGAUAAAGGGCUCAGAUUUUAUCGUAUUUGUGUAUUGCAUGGAUCUAUGGCAAAGGCUACUUUUCCUAUGGCUACACCUAAUGCGCGAAAGCAUUUCUCUACUUCGUAUAAAUCUUGGUGGGACAAAGUUCAUGGGAACUUUCUUGAAGCUACUUGCAAUCUUUGGUCAAUGUUGUAGGUCUUAUUAUCGACACUUCUCAAAAACAUGGUGAGGAGGUCCCAAUAGUGGCUAAUCCUCCAGUUUUGACAGCUAAGGUAGUUAUUUCGUACAGAGUCAAGGGACCUCUACUUGCAGAAACUCAGAAAGCGAAACCGCUUGCCUUGACUCAACCGGCUUUCAAUAAAUGACCACACCAAGACGAGAAUGAUAGUUGUCAUGGAGAUCGUUGUUGGAAGAAGGUAAAACCAUCCUUGAAGAAGCAAGGCGAUUCUAACUCCCAUGUGGAGAUUCUUGCUAGUUCAUCAAAAACUCCAUCAGCCAUCGAGAAGGUAAUGACUUAACUCUGUACUAUUUCAAAGUAUAUGAUUUGCCUUUAUAUAGCCCUUAUAUGAUUUUUUAUUUGUAUGUGCAGCCAAACGGUGUUUAAAUUUUGGAAGAUCCUCACCAAAGUAAGCUGCAAGAUAGCAGCGAGUCUGUAGCAGGUCCAGACUCAAGAGAGUUACUUUUGUCAUCAAAAGAGGUCAUCUGUAACCAUUACAGUAAAGUUAAAGCAAAUAUAGAGUCAAACUUUUCUCGGCAACCAGCGGUGACCAUGUCUAUUUUUUAUAGCAAAAAGGUUAUUUCAGAGCUUAAAAGGGAAUUUAUCAUGAAGGCAUAGGCUAGUAUCUGUACCAAACUUACAGGCCUUACUCCAAAUCGUGUUUCCUCUAUUCAAGAUGAAGUCGAAGUUAUACUCAAUGACAUGAGUGGAAUGGGGGCAGAUAUUUCCCCUUUACAGAAUUUAUUGAGGUCUUUCUUUAGGCUGACAACUUCUUAUGACCAAGCACAAUCCACCCUUUUUUAUCAAAACACAGCAAUUAGAAAGUCAGAGUCAUAUUUGAAAGCUAAAGAAUAUCUUGAGCUUGUAUUAAGGGAGAGAUAUGAGAAAUAUGAAGAAGUUUCUGCCACCUGUAAAUUUCUUGAGAAGGCGAAGAAGAAGGUGAAGAAGUUGAAAGCUCACCGAGAUGCUUCCAAGCAAGAAACUGCAGAGAUGGAAUCCAAAGUUUCAACUGCUAAAGAAGAGUUUUCCAAGUGUUCUGAUGUCUCCCUUACAACGAUAAAUGCCUUAAAGGUCGUGGAGAGUAAGAAGCAAGUCUUAGAGGCUGCUUUACAAGAUUUAGUUAAUUAUAAUCUAUACUUAGAUUAGCCUUAAGAUAUGCCUUUCUUCAAACCUUCUUGUUGCUUUCUUUUACCCCUUUUUUUGAGUAGUCAGAUCUAUCAGUUAUAAUGAAAACCUUUUUUCUUUAUAUUGCACAUUUAUUUUAAUAUUUCUUUGGAAUUUCAACUUCAAGAAUUUCUUGCUUAGCAGUAUUGAACUCUGGCUUUUCUAUCCAAAACUUGUUACUUAUUAGCUUUAUGCCUUUGUCUAACAACCGAGUUGGAAUUGAAAAUUCAAUUUGAAAGCCUUAAGAAUUAAAGCUUUUGACUUGCAAACUUGAUAAUUGCACGUGUGGUAGAUCUAUGUCUCAACUGUAAACUUUGGGUAUUCCAAAUCCUAUCGAAAGAGCUUCAUUUUCUUUUGAUGGGUUGCCCCUAUUGAGCCGCAAGUAUUUGACAUAAUUCCAACACUUAAUUGACAUGUAUGCAGACUUGAAUUUCAUACGAUGGAUCAAGCGAGGACAUGUAUUUUUUUUUACACUCAUGUAACUGAACUCAGAAUGAAAUUCCAAGCGCCUACGUACCUCAGUAAAGAAGAUCAAGUCACAAUAUAGUUUUGGGUGAGUGUUUUUUUCUUGUGUCCUAACUUUUGCCUAGGCCACCUCUUUCGAGGUUUUUAACUUAGCGGACUUUCAUUUUAUUUUGAGCCGUACACAGUUUAUACUCUUGUGGGCCAGGAGUAUACAUGCAGUUUAUACUCGUGCCUUAAGGAGUGUACGUGCAAUUUAUACUCAUGCCUUAAGGAGUGUACUUGCAGUUUGUACUCAUGCCUUAAGGAGUGUACAUGCAGUUUGUACUCGUACCUUAAAAAGUAUACAUGCAGUUUAUACUCGUGCCUUAAGGAGUGUACAUGCAGUUUAUACUCGUGCCUUAAGGAGUGUACAUGCAGUUUAUACUCGUGCCUUAAGGAGUGUACAUGCAGUUUAUACUCGUGCCUUAAGGAGUGUACAUGCAGUUUAUACUCGUGCCUUAAGGAGUGUACAUGCAGUUUAUACUCGUGCCUUAAGGAGUGUACAUGCAGUUUAUACUCGUGCCUUAAGGAGUGUACAUGCAGUUUAUACUCGAGCCUUAAGGAGUGUACAUACAGUUUAUACUCGUGCCUUAAGGAGUGUUAUCUUCCUUUAAGGAUAGUACUUCUUCAAGAACUUGGCGUUGAUGGGGCUAAUCCUCACGUCAUCUGCAUCGACAAGCUUGUAAGCACCAUUUGAAUAUACCUCUUGUACGACAUAUGGUCCAUCUCACUUUGGGGUGAAUUUACCCCCAGACUUAUGAGAAGUGAUAAUGGCCCUUAUUACUGCGAGGACUUGAUCUCCAACUUGGAAGCACCUUAAGCGAACCCUUUUAUUGAAAGAACGAGAUAGCCCGGCUUGAUAACAUUCAAGAUUUUAUUGAGCCUCCAGCCUCUUCUCGUCAAGAGCUUUUAACUUUGCAAGAUGCAACUUAGCAUUUUCUUCAUCAGUGAGCCCUUCUAGAAUGGCCAGUCUCAAAGAAGUUAUUUGACGCUCAAGUGGCAGAACUACUUCAACUCCAAAAGCAAGUGAGUAUAGGGUUGCUUGUGUCGGUGUACGAUAAGUUAUCCUAUACGCCCACAAAGAUUCUUCCAUCCGUUCACGCCAGUCUCAUUUGGAUUUGGAGACGACUUUCUUCAAUAAGUUGCAUAAAGUUUUAUUGAGUGCUUCAGCUAGACCAUUGGCGGUAGCAUGGUACAUAGAAGAUUUGCGUUGCUUAAAACCAAAGAGGUCACAGAUUGGCUUUCCUUUGUCAGUUAUUAUGUACUGAGGUAUUCCAAAGCUGUAGGCGAUAUUCACUCGGAUGAAGUUCGCAACAUUUUCUUUCUUUAAUUCCUUAAGAGCAACAGCUUCGACCCAUUUUGAGAAGUAAUCUGUCGCGGCCAAGAUGUAUAAGUGUCCACUAAAACACUUUGGUAAUGGACCAACAACAUCCAUUCCCCAAGCAUUGAAUGACCAAGACGCUAUAGUUGGAUGUAGCACCUCUGGAGGUUAAUAUAUGAAAUUUGCAUGGAAUUGGUAAGCUCUGCAUCUUCUAGCAUAGUGCAAGCAAUUUUUCACCAUUGUUGGCCAAUAAUAUCCCAUCCUUUUAAUGUUAAAAUGGAGCUUCGGUCCAGACUGAUGUGAUCCACAAAAUCCCGAGUGUGCUUCUUGUAAAGCUUGAAUUAUUUCUUCCUCUCCCAAACACCGUAAGAGUACUCCUUCAAAUGAUCUUCUGUACAGUGUGUCUUUGUAGUAAAGGAAGCGAGGUGCACGACGACGAAUGUCAGUCUUUCUCCUUGGAUCUUCUGGAAGUUUCCUAUAACAUAAAUAAUCAAUGAUAGUUUGUUGCCAAUUUUUUUUUACAGCUUCAGACAAGGCAACGAGGUAUUCAACCUUGUUUUCUAUAUCAUCAUCUGACGGUGGUAUUACCCAUUCUUGGCGGAUAGUAACUCGCGUCUGAUUUGGAAGAGUUAAGGUUGAGGCUAAAAUAGCUAAGGUAUUAGCUUGCUUAUUUUCUUUCCUUGGAAUAUGUUGGAGGGUUACUCCUCCAAGCCACCUCAUCAACUUUUAUGCAUAAUCAUAAUAUGGUCGUAGCUCAGGCUUUCUGAUUUCAUAGAUUCCCAAAAGCUACUUGAUCACCAAUUGGGAGUCACCAAAGACUUGUAAUUGCAGUUGUUUCAUGUCAACUGCCAUCUCAAGUCCAAGUAUUAAAGCUUGAUAUUCUCAACAUUAUUAGAGCAAUGAUUUGUUAGGUUAAAAGAGUAUGGGAUGACCUCUUCUUGUGGAGUAACGAACACCACACCGGCACCUUCUCUAUCUCGGUGUGCGGCACCAUCAAAGUACAUCUUCCAUGGGGAUCUAACUUCAACAACCAUUGCAUCUUCAUCAGGGAGUUCAUCGCUCAUCUCCCGGUCAUCAGGUAUUGGGUGAUCUGCCAAGAAGUCAGCCAAUGCUUGUCUUUUUAUAGCCUUUUGAGGAACGUACACAAUCUCAAACUGUUGAAAUUGAAGGUACCACCUUGCAAGUCGGUCACUUAGGACUGGUUUUGACAUCACAAACUUGAUGGGAUUUGCCCUAGACACGAGGCGAACAACAUGAGCUUGAAAGUAGUGUUUCAUCUUUUAGAUAGAGAAAGACAAUGCCAAACAUAAAUUUUCAAUUGGAGAAUACUUCAGCUCAUUUGAUGUCAUCAUUCUGCUCAGAUAGUAAAGUGAGUUUUCUUUGCCUUCACUAUUUUCUUGAGCCAGUAGUGCUCCAACUGAUCUCUCUUGUGUCGUGAUGUAAAGUAUCAAUGGCUUCCCAGGUAUGGGUGCCGCAAGAACUGGUGGCUUCAUUAAGUAUGAUUUAAUACUCUCAAAGACAUUACUACAAGCUUGGUCCCACUCGAAGGGACUGUCCUGCUUUAUGAGACGACUAAAUGGUUGACAUUUUUCGGCCAGGUUUGAGAUGAACCUCCUUAAGUAUGCAAGCCUUCCUUGAAGGCUUUUUAGGUCAUAAAUAUUUUGAGGUUCGGGCAUAUUUAAAAUUGCAUCGACCUUGGCUUGAUCAAUUUCAAUUCCUUGGUGUCGCACAAUGAAGCCAAGAAACUUUCCUGAAGUAACUCCAAAGGCACACUUUAAUGGAUUCAUCCUAAGUUGAUAUAUUCAAAGUAACUCGAAUACCAUUCUUAGGUUUUUUAAGUGGUCGUCUCUCUUUCUUGACUUCACCACUAGAUCAUCUAUAUAGCAUUCAACAUUUUUAUGGAGCAGGCCUUCAAAGAUAUUUUGCAUAGCCCUUUGAUAAGUGGCAGCGUUCUUUAAACCAAAAGGCAUCGCCUUGUUGCAAUAAAUACCUUUGAGCGUACGAAAUGUAGUGAGUUCUUUAUCUUUUGGAGCCAUACGGAUUUGAUUAUAUACGGAUGAACCAUCCAUGAAGGAAAUUUCCUCAUAACCAGUGGUGACAUCAAUCAUUAACUCCGGUAUGGGGUUGGAAAAUCAUCCUUAGGGGAUGCAUUGUUGAGAUCUCAAAAGUCAACACAAACUCGAAUUUGGCCAUUUUUCUUUCGUACUGGAACAAUACUUGAAAUCCACUUGGGAUAUUUGACUUCAUGAAUAAAGCCAGUUUCAAUGAGUUCGUUAACUUCAUUUUCGAUCAGUGGAACCAACCCUGGCCUAAAGCGUCUUUGGGCUUGCUUAACAGGAUGGGUACCAUUCUUGACUGCCAACUAAUGGACCUCUACUUUUGGAUCUAAGCCAGGUAUUUCCUUAUAUCUCCAGGCAAAAACAUCCAUAUAUUCUUUGAGUAUGUCCAUAUAAGCAAUUUUCUCCUCCACUUCUAGAAACGCACUCAUGUAAGUUGGUCUUAGUUCUUCAUCGGUUCCAAGAUUAACUUCUUUAAAGGGAUCUAUUGUGGACUUUACACCUUCUUCAAGUUGUGAUGGAGCAUCUCCAACAUCUUCCUCCUCUUGAGGAUCAUCGUCAUUGACGGAUAUAUGAUAACACCAAAAGACAUCUUUUAUCCCUUCAUCAACCUUUAUUUGAGAUGAGACAUCUUUCACGUUUUGGGUCGUAACAUGAUAUGAGGAGCCAACACUCUAUUCAUAUUCUUCGCAUUGCUUGGUAUAAACCACAGUAUGCAUCUUUGCUUAUAGCACCUCGUUGCAUGAAACUACCAGUUCCGUCUGUCACUUCAUUCUAUAAGGAAUCAAACUUUGGAAAUCCUUCCGUAUUCUAAGUGAAGAGUGCAUUAUCGUGCUUUGAUGACUUCUCUUACGUUUGUUUCUUUUACUUUUAUUUAGAGGUCCUAACCUUUCAAACACAGAAGUUCUUGUAGUUGAUUCUCUAAGUCGGUCAAAAACAGAAACCCUCUUGUUGGCUGCAGUGGCUUCUUUUUCUAUAGUGAUGUAAUUGCUAACCGCCCUUCUUAUGGAGAUGCGAAUUGGAGGUGGCUGUGUAUAUCCUAGGCCUUCACGUGCCUGCCUGGUCGUACCUUCCAACCGAUGGCUCAUUUGGAUUGUAUCCAACCUUUACAAAUAGCUUGUAUGCAUUUGGAUCGAAGCAAUCCUUCGUAGUUUCGUAGGGAGUGUCAUGUCCUGUGGCAGAUUUUGAGCCACAGACUCUUCAAGAAGUCUUGAGGAUGGAUUUAUUGCAUCAAUCUUCCUGAUAGGUAAAGUUUCAAUCGUCCUACUGGGCGUGCCAGAAUUUGUUGGACAGUAAAAUUUUCGAGAUAAAAAAAUAAAUAAUCGAGGCAAGAAAAUAUACUGCAACAAUCAGUUUAUUGAUUUCAAUAUGUGAGUGUUACAAUCUCUAUGAAUCCUCUGAUUCGCCUUUUCAAAUAUAAAUUCAAGAGCUUAAAGCUUGAUCUUAAAUUUGAACUUGAUUUGAGGGACUUGAUCUUGACUUGUGUUUAAAUUCAAGGGCUUUUGAGCUUGUUCUUGAAUAUUACGAUCUUGAUCUUGAAUCUUGAUGAACUUGAUUUGAAUGCUUGAGCUUUUUAGAGAAAUUGCGGCGUCUGAUCCGCGAGUUUUCUCUUGCUACUUGUUAGAGUUCUGGGGUUUGGUUCUUUUUUUCUGAAUUAUGAUAACCCUAUUUAUAGUUGUGAAAAAGAAAGAGUCAUGAUAGAGAUGGACUUUCUUUGACCAAUCAAAUUCAAGUGACGUGGCGCCUUUUAUGGGCUUUUAUUUCACGGGCUUGCUGCAUCAUUUUAACAUAUGACAUGAUCCUAUUGGCUCCUUCACUUGACUUGACAUGCUGCAUCAUUUGACACAUGACGCUUGUUUGGGCCUCUAGAAUAUGACAAUAUCUUGGGCUUAUUAAAACGGGCUCAUCAUUUGUAGCCCAAAUCAAUGGACUAACCCAAUAAAUAUUGGAUUUUAUUUAAAUCCAUACAUAUAUGGACUUAAAUAAUUAAUCCAAUUAUAUUAAUCUCUCCAACCAAACAAGGGAUUUCAGUGAUCUUUUAUUUUAUUCUGAGAUAUAACUUAUCCCUUGAAUUACUUAUACCUCACACCAAACGACCCCUAGAUUAUAGUAAGUCUCAAAAUACACAAAUAUUAAUUGAAGAGAUAAUUUUAUAAUAUGAGAAAGACUUCAUAAUAAGAACAAAUAUGCAUAAGCCUUUUAUAAUAAGAGAAAGAUUUCAUAAUAAGAACAAACAGGCAUAAGCCUAUGCAAACAACAUAAAGGUUAAAGAGUCUUAAUUUUUAUGUUUCAGUUUGUAAAAUAUAAUUUUCUUGUAAGUUUGUGGAGAAAAAAAAUAUUUUUCCUUAAAUUAUAUCUCGAAACUCAAUCAUUUUAUAAGAGAAACUACUAAUUUUUUUUUUUUUGAAUAUUGUUCCUCCAUUAUGGUAUAUUUAACACAAGAUUAUACAUAUUAGAUACAUAAACUUCUUUUAAAAGUCUUUUAUUUUUUCUUUUGAAAUUAUGUGCAAGUUCAAAUUUGAAAAACAACAAAAACAUGUCAGCAAUUAUACAACACAAAUAAUAACUUAUCUAUUUUUUAACCAAAUAUAAAAUAAAAUUACAAGACUGUAAUAAUAAUGUUGAACAACAUCGAUAUUAAUAUCCCAAUAAACAACUCGUUACAAAAUUAUAUCAUUAUUUCUAAAUUGUUUUAGUUAUCAAAGGACCAAAAACUAAUAGUGGUUAAAUAAUAAAUAAUAAAUGUCAUUUAACUAUUAAGGAGUUAUAAUUUUUUUUUUUUUUUUGGAUAAGAGGGAUUAUUUCAUAAAUACUAGAUAGAGCAAAACAUAGGUGUGUUCAAAGUGUCAGCAGCACUUUUGAUUACAGAGAGGUUACCAAACUUCACUAGGUUAAAACAACUUAAACUAGAAAGAGUCUAAUAGAUAACACAUUCCAACGAUCAGCUUCCAGGAGAGAGAUAGCUUGGGUUGGUGGUGAUAACAAAAAGUCCACUGUGCCUGGAUUUUUUGGGCUCGUAAUCUGCACAGCAGGUCAGCUGCUGAAUUUGCUUGUCUGAAAUUAUGGCGGAGCACAGGAUUCCCCAGCCUCUUCAACAACAAACUGCAAGAGCAUACAACAGGAUUGUAUAAGGGGGGGUGCUGUUUCUAAAGCUAUAAAGAUGUCUGUGGAGUCAAAUUCUACUUCCAAUGUGUUAAAAUUAUGAUCCGAAGCCAGUUGUAGUCCUGUAUGCAAAGCAAGCAACUCAGCGUGAAGGGCGUUCCUCGCUGAACAGAUGCCAGCGAAGCCCAGCAUCCAUUUACCUUCGCUCUCCUUGAAAACUCCACUUAUACCUCCUUUAGCUGUGUCAGUGCAAUAAGUAGCACCCGUGUUGAGUUUUAUAGAGCCCGGUUGAGGAGGAUACCACUUGAUAUAAAUUGAAUGGGAGGGGUUGGUAGUUGUUCCCUAGUAGUGCAAGUGAGAUAUUCAAUAGUUUGGUUAUGAACAAUAGUAAGGGAAGGUCGAGGGUGGUUUUGUUUAUACAGAAAAAUAUUUUGUGUGAGCCAUAAGUGCCAAAGGGCGAAGGGAAAAUACUGUUGCCACGAAUAGCAAAUGGUAGGAGGCGAGGGAGAAGGAAAGGAAACGUUUCUAAGAGUAAGUAACCAGUGAUUGGCUGUGAGAACAAAUAGGUAGAUAUUUAAUCCCAGAUUCAACCAAAAUUCUUUCGCCUCCACACAGUGAAAGAAUAGAUGGGUAGUCGAUUCUUCUGUGGUUUUACAAAGGGGACAUAAAGGGUUUUCAGCUAUUUGUAACUGGUAGAGGUAUUGCAUGGUGGGUAGGCAAUUGUGCGAGCAAAGCCAAAGAAAAAACUUGAUUUUAUUGAGAGUAUUGAGGUUCCAAAUCCAGAAAAACUGGUAUGGUGUAGUAGUAGGUGGUUUAAUGACGGAAAUAACACUUUUAACAGAAAAUAAGCCAUUCGUAUUGGAGGCCCAGUAGGGGACAUCAAAUAUAUGAGGAGGGGAUUGGAUAGCAAACAAAGUAGCAGUAACAAGCAGCGGGGAGGAAGAGUGAAAGAGAGUUUAGUCCAAUCCCAUUGAUUAGAGGCCCAUAGUUGGGAGAGUUUGAGAGUAGUUUCGUAUUGGGUAAGAGGGCCUUGGAUAAGGGAACAAAGGGAUAAAGAUUUGGGUAUCCAGCGGUCGUACCAAACACUAAUGGUAGUGCCAGAACCCGGUAUCCAAGCAAUGCGAGGAGCACAAUUGGUACCUUCGGCAAGAAUAUUUUUCCAAAUAAAAGAGUAGGCAGAAUAAGUUCUGCGUUUGUUAUAUUUUUUGAUGAGAGUAGUGUCCCAGAGAGUUUGAGUAUUAGAGAAAGCUCGCCAAGCAAGGCUGGUCAGUAAGGAAGAACUUUUUGUACGAGCAUCCAGUACACCUAAACCUCCUUCUUGCUUCGAGGUCGGUACUUUGUCCCAAGAUAAAAGGUGCAACUUUUUCUUUUUUGAGGUAGAGCCCCAGAUAAAGUCCCGUUGAAUUUUAUCAAUAGCCUUGCAAAUCGUGGUUGGGAGGUUGAAAUACUGCAUUAUAUACGCUGGAAUGGCGUUAAGAGUUGAUUUCGCUAGGACGAGGCGACCCGAAUGGGUGAGGAAUUUAGAUUUCCAAUGGCUUAGUUUUUUCCUCAUGUUGUCGAGGAUAAAUUGAAAAUCUUUUUGUUUGGGUUUUUACUAGAGGAUGGGUAAUCCAAGGUACUUCCCGAAGUGGGUUGACUCGUGGAUGUUAAGGUGGUGAUGAAUGAGGGAUUUAGCAGAGUUAGAGCAAUGCUUGGAGUAGAAGGCCUUGGAUUUUGUCGCAUUAAUAUGUUGGCCUGAAAGAUUGUAGAAGAAGGUCAAACAACUAGUCAGGGUAUGUAUGGAUUUUGGAGUGGCUUUGGAAAUAAGAGUAGGAUCGUCCGUGAAGAAGAGGUGGGAGAACAAGGGACCAUUACGAGAGAUUGAGAGAGCAUCCCAAUUGAGAAUAUCCACUAGACGGUAGAUGUAGGAGGAGAGUAAUUCCAUGCAAAGGAUAAAAAUGUAGAGGGACAUGGGAUCCCCUUGACGGAUUCCUAUAGACGGUGAAAAGAAGUUAGUUUUAGGGCCAUUUAUGAGGACAAAGAUACUACUAGUGGUAAUGCAACUCAUUAUGAGGGUCCGAAUCUUAGGGGGAAGUUAAAGAAAAUAAGGGUACGAUAGAUAAAUGACCAUUCAAGACGGUUGAAAGCUUUUUCUAAAUCAAGCUUAAGCAUAAGACUACCUGUUUUGGAGGUAGAUUUAUUUAUAUAGUUAAAAAACUCUUGAACCAAGAUAGCAUUGUCACAAGCUCUACGACCCUUCAGAAAGCUUGUUUGAUGGGGUCCAAUUAAUCGAGUAAGAAAGGGUUUUAAGCGGUUUGCAAUAAUUUUUGUAAUCACUUUGUAAAUAGUAUUGCACAAACCGAUGGGGCAAAAUUUUUUGAAUAAAUUGGCGUUAUUAAACUUUGGUAUGAGACAAAGAUAAGUAGAAUUCAAGGGUGCAGGAAUGGUCAGAGUGUUGAAAACCUGAUGGCAAAAAUUAAUGACACUAGUCCCAACGAAAGACCAGUAGUAUUGAUAGAAAUAAAAGAGAAGACGACAUUAUUGAUUUCUUGAUUAGUCAACGGCCAAUCAGGGGAGGUCAGGUCAAUGUGAUGAGCCCUUAACGGGGAGGGAUUCAUGUCAGUUCGAGGGGACGAAGUAUGUUCAGUAGUAAAACAAGUUUGAUAGUACUGAAAAGCAUGAUUAACAAUGCAAUUAUGGUUAGUGAUCCAAUUACCGUUAUCAUCCUUGAAGAAAGAGAUCCGGUUAGUUCUUCAUCUAUUAAUAACGGAGAGAUUGUAAAAACUAGUGUUAGCGUCACCAUGAUUUAACCAGUCUAUUCUAGAGUGAAGUUUCCAAAAAUCAUCCUCGACUCUAAGGAUGGAGUUAUAAUCAUCAGUAAGGGUUUUCUCCAGGUCACGAAGGAAGCUGCUAGCGGGGUAAGCUUCCGAAUGUUGAAUACCACUAAGGUGGGUAAGAAUCCUAUUUUUCGUUUAAAGAUAUCCCCGAAGGUCUUUUUAUUCCACUCGGUGGCUUGAAUAGUAAACCUAUUAGUAACUUCGAGUAGAGGGGAAUUGUUAGACCAGCAAUUAGGAACCACCAUUUUAAAGGAGGGAUGACGAAUCCAAAACUUUUCCAGCCGGAAAGGUCUUUUACUUCUAGGAUUGAGGGCCCUAUUAACACUGAUAAGUAACGGGGAGUGGUCCGAGUGGGUUUUUGGGAGAUAGAUAAUUAUAGAGCUCGGGAAGAGUUGAAGCCACCUAUCUGUAGCAAAAACUCUAUCCAGACGUUCUAUAAUCAAAUUUGUCCCGUUAGAAUACUUACGGUGGUUUGACCAAGUAUAUCGGCCUCCCUUGAAACCUAGGUCAACUAGGUUACAAUUAUUAAUACAGGACCAAAAUUUGGAGCUUCUAUUAUGAUUUAUACUGCGCCCGCCCACUUAUCCUGUUGCGUGAGAAUUUCGUUAAAGUCGCCUACUAACAUCCAAACACCAUCAAAUAGUUUGAGAAUAAUUCUUUAAGUUUUCCCAAAGUUUCAAGCGAUCCGAAUAACAAGUUCUAGCAUAAACAACGGAGAAAAACAAAGGAGAAGAGUUGGGCAAUACCUGGAUCAUGGCGUGAAUCUCUUGGUCAAUGCGUUGUUUACGGGUUACAUUAAGAAGGUGAGAGUACCACAUAACAACCAAACCCCCAGAAUUUCCUACAGCAGAGACUUCGAACAUGUCAUCAAAAGCAAAUUCGUCCCUAAGAAGUGCAUGGUUUGUCAUCUUAGUCUCAAGUAAAGAAACCAAACAAGGAUUAUGAUUCCUAAUAAGCUCUUUCUUAUUCAACUUAAAGGCUUCAUUAUUCACCCCGGAGUGUUUCAAACCACAAAACUAGUGUCCUGAUCCAUAGAAGAGAAAGGGGUAAUUGGGAAGGGGUCGUCACUGCAACCCGCUUCCAAUAGCGGGUUCGGUUUCAUUGUUGGGGCCAUGAUGACCACAAGCUUGGCUAGAUCUUGGUUCACUGUUGUACGAACCACAAAAGAGCACUUCACUAGAUUGGUCGGACAGUUGUGAAUGUAUUUUUUGUCUUCCUUUUUUGGGAAAACCAUAAGGGCCACAUUUUUCAAGGUUAAGAUUUUUGUGAAUGUGAUUCGGAGGAGAUUUAUUUCCACUAUGGGUAUGGUAGUACGAGGAGGAGGAAUGAGAUAAGAGGUCAAAGUUGGGGUUGUAUGGGGGAGUUGUGGGUCCGGGACAAAGAGUAUUUAGGAUGGGCGAGUUGGAAGAGGCUUCCAAGAGAAGAAAAUUGGGUGGUUGGAGAUCCUUUCCGGUGGAGUGAAGAAAAGAGUUUGAGCAAUGUUGUGCAUAUUGGGAAAUGGGCUAAGGAAGUGAGAGAGGUUCCAAAGGCCUUGCGUCAUUUGUAGAAAACCCAACAUUGUGUUCGGAGAGGCUGGGUCUAGAUUGUGGGUGGUCCACAUUUGAUUCAUGAAGUGUUCUAGAGCUAGACGCAUGCCCUCCGUGACCAACUGAGCUAGUUGUCUUUCGUUUUGGAGGACAAUGAGAGAACGAGUUCCAUUUACAUUGAGUGAGAAAAUGGAUGCAUGUCCCCUCGGACCCAUCUCUAGCCACGAGAGGGGUUGGAUGGGUAGAGGGAUAGAGAGAGUCGCAUAAACUGGGGGUGGGUUGGGAUCGUUGAGCAGUUGAGGGCGGUUCGAGAGGAUGGGUAGAAGAGUGAGCUCGAUGUGUAGGUGAGGUGGGAGAUGUAGACCUUCCAUGAUCACUCGUACGAGAGGAUGGAGAAUACACUACAGAGAAGGAAGGGGGUUGUGAUAAUGUUAAAUCUUUUAGAUAGGAUUGUGAAAACUGAUACAGGCUCUAAACUUGCAGCUAAAUUGUCGGGUAUAAAUACCCUCAGGACACGAUAACAUAAAAGUAAAACAUAAACAUUCUUGAAUAAUCAUGAUCAUGGACAUUCAUUCACCAUUACAAUCAUUAAAGCAUCUCUUUAAGCACUUGGAAAUCAUAAACAUGUGAUAGUAUAAGGAUACAUGUUAUUGGCUCAUACUCCAUUCAACAAGGUCUUACAACAAAUAUUUAACAUUCAUUGAAGAGCAUAUAAUUGGUGGAUUUCAUGCUAACAUGUCACAAUUCAUUUAUUAAGUCUUUUCGACAAACACUUGGCAUGCAUGAGCUUGCACACAAUUGGGGAUUUCUAGUCAACAUGCUAUAAUGGCUCUAAUUCCUCCACAUAAGCAUUUUAUCAAACAUAUGGGGAGCAUGCUUUGGUUAUUCAACAAUUUCUACACUUAAUUGACAUAAACACAUCACUUAACAUGCAACUUGAAAAGGGUUUAUCAUGAACAUCAUACGAUUCAUCAUAUACUAGAAUCAACUCUUGAGAUUUUAUAAACAAAAUAUGAAUUUAACUCAAUAAUAACAUGAACUGCAAUUUCAAUUCACAUGACUCAUGAAAACUCAUAAAUAUAAGAUCUUUGAAUUUAGAAAAAAGAGUCUUGAACUUCUUGGGUGGAAGGAACCCAAGAAUCAACAUCUAACAUACCUUGCUAUGUAAUUCUUGAAAGAUUCACUGUGAAACCUUGAUGAUUUGGGUCUUGGAUUAGAAAUCCAAGGUCUUGUUCUUGAAGAAAAUUGAGAGAAACCAAUAAUAUUUGGGUGUAAAUAUGCUGAAUCUUAUGUUAAAGAGUAUAUAUAGGGGUUGGACAAAGACCCUUUUUGCCUUUGGAAUUAAAAUUCAUAACUGAAAAAAUCCCAAUUUUACGUGCUGGCGCGACGCGCCAUAAUCGCACCAGCUUACUGGAAAUUGGACAAUUGGGAAACUGAGCCUUGGCGCGACGCGGUGAAAAUCGCGUUGCCACCUUGGUUGCGAACUAGAAAGACACCACGACACGAUGGAAUCAUGGAGGCUCACUAGAAUUUGACAAUUGCCAUUUUGGCUGGCUCCGCGAUGCGCUAAAGUGUCAGGUGGCACACUGUCUCACUAAAAUGGCUCUAACUCUUCGCCCGAGUGUCGGAUUUAGACGAAUUUGGUAUCGACGAAAAACUUGUUCAAUUCUCUACAUGGAAAAAAGACAAUAUUAGAGAAAUUCGACAUGGUUUAAAAUAUUUUUCACUUUGAAAGUCUCUUCUCGACCUUUUAAGACCGAAAUUACACUUCACUUGGCACGCUAUAAAGCUCAGACUACGAGAGAACUUUGUGGGGUAUUACAAGUUAUUACCUUGUCUGCAACAUUUUUACCUUUUGUAGCCUUCUUUUUUCUCCUUGGGAAUUGAACUGUGUGCCACUCAACUACACUUGAAUCUUGUGAAGGUAAAUCUUGAAUAACUUUUUCUGCAUGGGGGGAUAGGAGUACCCUUCUUACUUUGUUCAUUAUGAUAAUGACAAGUUCUUUGGAUAUGGCCUAAUCUUCCACAGUUUUUACAGAGAAAAUCAUCGGCCUCAUAUACAAUGUUUUGCAGGUGAGUUUCGAUCUGAAUUUAGGAAGGAAUCGAGUCUGCAAAUGACAUUUGUAUGCAUAGCCUCGCAUAUCUUCCUCGUAAAGUUGCGCUAGUGCAUGCAUCAAUUUUCAGCAGCUUACCAAUGGAGUUACCAACUUUUUAAAGUAGUAUAGUGUUAUAGGGAAGACAAAUCCAAAUAGCCGAUGCCGAAAGAACUGCUCUUUCUGGGAUAAAAUUUGGAACCCACUUCUAAAUAGAGAGGUAGUGACCAUAUAUGAACCAGGGUCCAUUGUUAAGGACAGUGUUCAUAUCUUCUAACUUGGAGAAUUUGAGUAUGUAAUAAUCCGCCCCUAAAUCGAUCAAGGGAGUUUGUUCCAUGAUUUUUCAUUUUUGUUAUAAUUUGGUUCGAAGGGAUUGAUAGGGAAUGUGAAUGCCUAUCGACUUGAUAAUAAGAGAGUACUUCCACGGUGCAUAGAUUCUGAAGUUUAUCUUCUUGGAAAAGAGUAAUCGUUGUAAUGCCAUCAAUAAUAGGGAAGAGGCUGGGAACUGGGCUAGAUUCCAUUGGAUUGGGUUGGGAUAAAAUGUUAUCUGCCAUAUCCAUGUCCAGGAUGACUUCAUUAGAUAGUAAUUUAACUUUGUAGGAAGGAUCAUCUGGUGGUUUGGGAGGUUGUUCUAAGGAAGAAUUUAUUGUUUGAUGUUCUGGGUUCAUCUAAAAAAUUGAUGGUUUUAGGAGUUAUAAAAAUUAUUAAAGGAUGAUUAUGUAGAGAUUAAUGAGGUACUUUUUAGAUUUUUUAAUUGUGGCAUGUAUCUUUUAAAAAAAAUCAUCCAAAAUUUGAAAAAGAACAUCACUUCAAAAAAAAAAGAGAGAGAGAGAAUCCAAAAAAAAGUAGUAGAACUCUCAGGAGCCAUUUGGUAGAGUGUAUAAGAAUAAUGUUGAAUAAGGUGUGUUAGUAAUGCCUGUAUUAUUAAUGCAAGCAUUAGUAAUACUGGUAUUAGUUAUACAAUCAUUAUUUCUUACACAAUAUUUAAUUUGAUGUAUUAAAAAUAAUAUAUAUUUAUAUAAUUUUUAUAAAAAGUAUUUGUUUACCAAAAUACCCCUUUUUAGACCCUCUCUUUCAAGUGUAGAAGUAGCAACACCUACUAUUGUAAAAAUGAAAAACCUAAAGAAUGCUCGCAGUGCUUUUGGGAUGAUGAUCGGGGGAGUUAUCCAUUAACUAUAAAGCACAAGAUCUUUUAACUGAUGUUGCAUCAUGCCAUCUUUCUUGAUUAAUGGAUAACUCGUUGCUGCUACAGGAUAAUAAGCGAUUUUCAUGCCCAUCUUCCUAUAUCGACAAAUACUGAAAAGGAAUCUGCAAUAUUUGAUUGCUGAAAAACAAUGUUUUUGAUCGAUGGCAGUGUUGGAAUAUUUACCUGGAGGUAGCAACACUACUAAUCUGAACCAAAAAGACAGAAAAGGAGGAGUAAAUUGAUCAUUUAAUAAGUUAAUGCAUGUGUUCAAAAGCUGUGAUUUACUAAUACAUGGAAAAUGGUGUGUAUUACCAAUACACACCUCAAUACACAAUAAAGUGUAACUAAUGCAUGCAUUAGUUAUACAUUGCCUAAAAAGGUAUCAAACAAGGUACUAGUAAUAUACAUUAAACUAAUGCAUGUAUUAGAUUUUCAAUACACUCUACCAAGCGACUCCUUAUUAUGUAAGAGAUAUCACAUCACUUUUCUAAACAACACAAACAUGUCAUUAAUAAUAAUACAAAGAAAAUAAUAACUUAUCUAUUUUCUAAUCAAAUAGAAAUAAAAUUACAAACUCAUAAUAAUAAUAAUAUUGAAGAACAUCAAUAUUAAUAUUUUAACAAACAAUCAAUUAUAAAAUCAUGGCAUCAUUUUAAAAUUAUUUUAAUUAUCAAAGAACAAAAAACUAAUCGUGAUUAAAUAAUAGAUAAUUAAUAUCAUUUAACUUUUGAGGAGCUAUAAAAAUCAUUAAAGAGUAAUUAUGUAGAGACCUAAGGUAGUCUCUAGACUUUUCAAUAAUAGAAUGUAUUUAAAAAAAAAAAAUCACCAUAAAUUUGAAAAAGAGCAUCAAUUAAAAAAAAUAUUAAAAAAAAGAAUAAUAGAACUCCUACUAUGUAAGGUGCCACAUCACUUCUUUAUUUUCUGAUUUUACAUUAUAUCAAAAUUAUUUAUAAGUUCUAUAAUCUUUAGUUUUUACAUGAGUAAAAGAAGUUUGCUUUUGCAAUUCAAUAAAUAUUUUUUAAAAUCUUGGACUUCAAUUCAUUUUAGUAUGGAUUUUAGCAUGUUUUAUUGUGGUUAUUUAUUUCAUUAUAAAAAUAUAUUUCAUUAUUUUCAUAAAUUUUUUAAAAAUUUUAAGUUUCAGUAAAUCAUAAAUAUGGAGUAACCUCUAUCUUUGGACGUACUUAAUUUUAAAAUACAAAAUCAUUUUAUUUAUUUUUAAUAGUUAGGUAGUUGCUAUUUCAUAUGAAUUCAGCACAAAAUUAAAAAAAAAAAAAAAAACCACUUCAAAAGUUUAUAUGAAGAACACUUAUGAUAUUUCACUAAAUAAAGUAUCCAAUCUAAUUAUAAUCUAUUUGUGAUUAAAAACUAAAUUACUCUUACAAUCUAAAGAGAAAGAAACAAAGAAUAAUUAUAAACUAUAAUUAUAGUAUAUCGCACAAAAUUAUAUUAAAUAAAUUAAGAUAAUAUGACAAUAUCUCUAACGGAUAUAUGAACAAAGUAAAUGAAUAGAUAAAUGAUACUUCUAAACAAAAUUGAAACUUAUGAAUUUUGAAUUUAAAAAUUAAAGAAGACCAGAAAUUAGAAUACAAAUGUUCAUGUUUCAAUUCUAUGCUUCCCAAUAAGCAAUUGUAGAUCUAAUGAAUAUGAACACUAGUAAAUUUAUUUGCGCUUCGGGCGAUUACUAAUAACUAAAAUAUAUUAAUAAUUUUACUAAAUAUAAUAUAGAUAAAAGAGGUAUUUGCAAUAUAUAAAUAUACUACUACCAUGGCGGAUUCAAGAUUUUGGAAUCGCAUGUAUCUGGAAGGUUCGAACACACAUAUUGAUGCCUAAAACUUUUAAGGUUCUGCCUAAAAAUCAAAGCAACCACCUAUCUUCUUGAUUUUCUGGAUGUGUUUUAAAAUCUUAUAGUUUGUGUGUGUGUGUGUGUGUGUAUAUAUAUAUGUAUGUAUGUAUAUAUAUAUGUAUGUAUUGAUUUCAUAGAAAAAAUGUCUAUUUAAUAGUUAGCAAACUUCCAAUAAAGUCAUAAGUUAUUACUUCGAAUCAAAAGAAAUUAUAAACUUGCUAUAAUAAAAACUUGUAUAGAAUAUAAAAUUAAAAGAAAUGGCAGUGAGAACGUAUAGAAAGAUAAAUAAUGUAGCAUAACAUAAAAUUAAAAAAUACAAAAUCAACGUACAAUCAUUUGAGAUCUUGUCCACAUCCACUUCCACAAGUUAAUCACCAUUCAAUACUCUCUAUCUUGUCCUUCAGGUCAAACGCAAAGCAUAAAUAUCAUUAGUAUCAAAAUCAUAACAACUUAAAAGGCUAAUCGGAUUAUUUUUUAAAAGCCUUGCUAUCUUUUAAUUUUAAAAAAUAAAAGUAAAGUCUUACUAUAUUUCUAUUUAUAGGACUAUAAUAUGAAAUACCAAAUAAUAGCAUGAAUAUAACUAUUAAUUAUUUUACUGAUUAUGACAUUAAAAGGAUGUGGAAGCAAAUGAAAAUAAAAACCACAAGUUAUACAUUGAAAAUUAACGAAAUGACUUUUGAAUUUCUUAAUAUUGCAUAUUAAAUAUGAUUAAGAGACUUAAAGGAUGGUUGUUUUUUUUUUUUUUUUUUAAAAAAAAAAAAAAAAAAAUUGAGGAUUUCUUGUAAAAAAAAAAAAUAGCUCCUGAAAAGAUGAAAAGAAAAAAGAUAAUUAUAUGUUUUGGUUAAAGAAAGGUGUCAUAUCACAUUGUUUUUAGCUUUAUGAUCAUCAUGCAUAGUGGUUUUUAAUGGAGUAAAAGCUAAAGAAAAGGAGGAAAAAAGAUAGCUAUGCCAACAAAGUCAUAAAUUAUUAUUUUAAACAUUAAAAAAAUUAUAGAUUUACUAAAAUAAAAAAUUCAUAUAAAAUGCAGAAUAAAAAGAAAACAUAAAGAGAACAUAUGAAAAAAAAAUAAUGCAACAAUAUUCUUAUGAUAUUAAUAAUUUAAAAAGAAAAAAAUAUAAAAUUAAUGCAUAAUUGUUUGAGUUCAUGUCGAUAUUCGACAUCUUCUCUCAUAAGCCGAGUUACACUACAGAUGCAGUUAUUAAAAAAAAAACUUUACGUGUCAUAAAUCUAUGCUUGUUGUAGUUGCAAGUUAGCAUGCAUCUCCCAUACAUCAAUUGAUUGUUGUCUUUCUUGACAGCAUAUAGUUUAUAACGUCUUGUGCUCACAAACACAAGGUACAUGCUAUAAACUGUUUCGAAAUGAAUCUUUACAUUCUUAUGUAGAAUCUUUUUCCGGUAUAAUUGAGAAGAAAACAAAAGAAAUAUUUCAAAUUUGUUGGUAUCUUUUCUUGUUCCAUAUUUAUGAUCAUAUAUAUAUAUAUAUAUAUAUAUAUAUAUAUAUAUAUAUAUAUAUAAAUUGAAAAAUGAGAUAUAUUUCUAUCUAAGAUUAUCAAGAUCUUAUCCAAAGCCUAAUUUUAGAAAAAAAGAAAAGAAGAGAAGCUAUUAUCAAUUUAAUAAACUUAGAUCAAUUAAUAUUUUCUUCAAUUUUCUUAAUUUCACUCUAUUAUACUCCUAAUAUUCUAAGAUAUUAUGAAAACGUAAAUUACUUGUUCAAUAACUCAAUCUUCAAAAUCUUCUAGCAAAAAUCUCUCUGUCCCUUCCUUUGAGUUAGAUUAUUAAACUAUCUGAUUAAGAUAUUAAAAAGAGAUAGAAAAUAUGUUUCAAGAUUUUAUGAAUAAAUCAGUUUUUCCUUUUACGAACUUACAAAACAACCAAAAAGAAAAAAAAAAUUACUUUCCUUAGAAUUGCUUGAGAGAGAGAAGAGCCAACUUUUAUGAUUAACUUGAAAAUUAAUUAUGAAAAUUACAUAAGUGUUGAGCAUAAAUUUAUAGCAAAAAAUAUUAUUAGAAGCAAAUUAUAAUCUCAAUUCUUCAUAGAAGAUUUAUAAUUCUAAAAGUAAUCCUUAUUCUCCUUUGAUUUAGGUCAUUAAAUUAUUCAAUCACAAUAUAAAAGAAUUUUUUUAAAAGAUUUUAUGAGUGUAAUAAAUUCUUCUUACAAAACAUAAACAACAAACUUGAGAAAAGAAUACAUUUAUUUACCUUAAAAAUUAUUUUUGAGAAUAACAAAAUUUUGAAGCAUUGCUAACAAAAACACUCUCUGAAAUGUAAAUUCAUUUGAAAAGAAAGUAACAUUAGAGAUGGAAAUGGCCAAUGUCAAUAAUAGUGAACCAUACAUAAUAGUUGCCAACGUUUACUUCACAUUAAUUUAUUAAAUGCGACAGUUUUGUUAUAAACUAAUAAAGAAUAAACAAAAAGAGUAGAGAGAGAAGAGAGAGUAAUUGUUAUUUCUCUUGAUGGAUGAAUUACAAUGAAGCAAAACCCCUUUAUUUAUAGGGAAAAACUAACCUUGGGGUUUGUAACUUUUUCAUAAAUAGACAUACACAAUAUAUGGUAAAGUAGGUAUUCACUAUAUAUGGUAAAGUAGACAUUCACUAUAUAUGGUAUAUUUAUAACGCUUCCCUUGAAUGACUAAUUGAUAGAUAAUGUGUCUCGUUAAAACCUUACUAGAAAAAACCCAGUGGAAAAAAAAUCUAGUGAAGGAAAAAGAGUACACAUCUCUAACAAUACGCAUGUAGGCUACCUCAUUAAAAACCUUCCAAGGAAAAUCCAAUGGGACAAAAUCUCAUAAGGAAAAAAGAGUACAACGCAUAUUAACUCCCCCAAUGAGCACAUUCUUGAGCCUUUGCAUCCUGAUCUUGUGCACCAUCUUCUUGAAAGUUGUAGUUGGAAGAAACUUGGUGAAUAAAUCAGUCAUAUUAUCUCUUGAAUGAAUCUGUUGCACGUUAAUAUCACCAUUCCUUUUAUAGCUCAUGUGUAUAGAAAAGCUUUGAUGAAGUGUGCUUCGUUCUAUCUCUUUUGAAAAAUCCUCCAUUAAGUUGUACUAUGCAUGUUGCAUUAUCUAUGUAUAAAACUGUGGGUACAUUGUCACAUUUCAAAUCACAUUUUUCUCGAAUGAGAUGUAUCAUGAACCUCAACCACACACAUUCUAGGAUAGCUUUAUGAAUAGCUAUUAUCACAUCAUGGUUCAAUGAAGUGGCUAAAUAGACUAUUUAAUAUAUCUCCAAGAUAUAGCAGUAUCCCCACAUGUGGACCCAUAGCCUAUUUGAGAUCGAGUUUUAUGCAGGUUAGGUAAAUACCCAACAUCAACAUGACGAAAAGAUCAGGACUGCAAUCCUUAGAAUAAAUAAGCUCAUAUGUCUGAUCUCAUUUUGAUGUCUCCUAGUAGAAGUAGAACCAUUUAUACCUUGCUAACAAAUUGACAAAAAAUGGCUAUGUCAUGCCUUGUAGUAUUUGCAAGAUACAUUAGUGCACCACUUGCACUAAGAUAUGGUACUUCAUAACCAAGGAGUUCCUCAUUCUUUUCUUGAGGUCGAAAUGAAUCCUUAUUCAAUUUUGUAUGUUUCUCAUUUAAGCAAAAAUUCUAUUGCUUUUGAAAACCUUCCAAGAGUUCCAAUGAUACUCAAAUCAUCAAAUUAUCUCUUAUGAGGAUAGUAAGAAGUUUUCCAAAAACUUUAUAUGCUUCAGGAAUUUUGAAUCCUUUAGAGAUUUUCAUAUGGAUUUUUAUCAAGUGACAAUAUCCAACAUGUCAAGUGUGACAUCUUCAAGUGUCUGGACUACAAAUCAAAUAAGUUUUAUACUUAUCAAAAUGCAUCCUUUCAUGUCACUUGAUAAAUAUUUCUACACCAGCAUGCUUAAAUAAAUGUAAAAUUCAGAUCCUCGUAAUACUUUACAAUAUUGCGCCAAUAUUGUAUCAAGAUAUCAUCGACGAUUUCUUAUUUUGUAUCGGUUCACAAUGUGACAUAACAUUUUAAGAUCUCAUCACUUCAUUAUUUUCAGGUACCUAAACCUCUCAUAAGGUUUCAUAAAGUGUUAUGUCGUAGGCUCUUCAAGAGCACAUUGCCUUCUUAUUAUGAUUAUUUUCUCCUUAUCUUUUUCAAGGAUUAUUUCAUUUGGAACCGAUUGGUCUACCACGCUUCACACAUGCAUAGACUUUUUCCUUUAGGGACACAAAAUAGGAGCACUUGCAGCUUAAAUAUGAGAUGCGUUCAACAUUUGACUAGAAUUAUCUUUUGAAUGAGGAUCUGAUGAUAAUUCCUAACAUAUUUCUUAACUGCUUAUAAUCUCCCCCUUAUGUUAGGAAAACUAACAUACAUCCUCCAUCUUAUUUGAGGAAUUCAUCUUUGUACAUCAUGGUAUAUUCAUUGAUCGUAUACCACACAUCAAAACUAUUAGAUGGAAUAGUUGGUUCCUGACCUUGAACCAAUUGAGAGGGAAGAAAUAAUCAUAAUUUAUUAGUCUAAUGCAUACAAGUGCUAUUGUAUGUAACAUAUCAUAUUUUAUAACAACACAUGAAGUUUUGUUCUCAUUAAUAAUGAUUUAGCUAUUUAUCAAAGGCAUUCAAUGUCAAAUCAUCAUCAUCAAGAUGAAUUAUCUUGAUUACACAAUCUUUAUGCUCAAGUUAUAUUGAGUAAGUAACUUUAUGAAUGUCACACGUAGGUUGACAAUGAAUAUACAUGUGAUCAUCUUAUUGAUGCGUCUUUUCAACAUAUCACAUGAUAGGUGACCGGACCCUUAUUCAUCUUUAAUACUUUUCAAAUUUUAAGGGAUCCAAUCCUAAAAUUAGUUGGUCCAACAAACUUAUCAUGAGAACAAGCAACAUUAUAAGUUCAUGAAGAAUUUUCUAGUUCUUCAAUAUAUGUUUAAUACUCAAUAUGCAUACCUUUAGGAUGUCACAAUCGUUCAUGUCAAUUUAUGAACUUUUAUUCUAGUAAACUCCAAGUUUACCAUGACAUGUACUUUGUUCUUUUGUAAAUUUCAGAUUUACUAGGAUAUGAAUAGAUUUUAGAUUUACUACUUGAAAAGUAGAUUUCAGAAUAACUCUUCUUAGUUAUUCUACCUUAUUCGAAGGUGAGUUGUGAAGCCAUCACAAUCAAGUUCACGUUUAUUGAUAAGCUUCACUAAAUAUCAUCACAUUCACCCAGAAAAUGGAUUUAUGCUUAUAACAAUUAAAAUUCUCAUUCCCAUGAAUGAAAUAUAAUGUGCCUCAAGCCUAUCAAAUUGAUAGUUUAUAACCUCUUAUAUGAUAUUGCUAUUUCAGGAGCAAAUCGAGGCAUACAUAUGAUCUAGAGAAUUUUUCUCUAACAUAUCUUAUGAUCAUAAUAUGCGUGUGAAAAUAUUAUCACUUUUGAUGAUCAUUAUCAUAUUGUCUCUCCACGCAUAUAUUCAUGCAUUCAAUCACUUGUCUUAUUUUAGAUAUAUUAUGCACUGUUAUCAUAUACACUUUAAGAAUGAAGUAAGUUAUCAUAUUUCAGACUUAUCAUAUAUUGCUACCACAUUCACUUCAUGGAAUAAAGCAUAUUCAAUGGGACAUAUUUCAUGAAUUUUCAUUAAAAACACAUUAUUUUACCUUAGCCAUCAGAAUAUCAUCAAUAUGGUGCAUAGAGAUUCUAACUCAAUGUCUUACCCAUAUAAAGGUGUCUUAGGCAUAAAUUGAUGAGACUUAAACCCAAUAUAUUAUCAUCCCUUUUGAUAAUAUUAUUCUUGAGGAAUAAAUUUAAAACAUAAAUGGUUCCAAAUCAAUUAUUUUUUCUCAAAUCCAACAAUAAUUAUAUUAUUAGUAAGACAGAUAACAUAAGGAAUUACUAACCUUGAAAUUACCUUUAAAUUUAUAAUCUCAUCUUUUUUGACAAAGUCUCGUGCUGAUAACGUGUUAUAAACUAAUAAAUAAUAAAGAAGAAGAGUAGAGAGAGAAGAGAGAGUAAUUGUUAUUUCUCUUGAUGGAUGAAUUUCAAUGAAGAAAAACUCCUUUAUUUAUACGGGAAAACCAACCUUGGGGUUUGUAACUUUUCUAUAAAUAGACCUACACAAUAUAUGGUAAAGUAGGUAUUCACUAUAUAUGGUAAAGUAGACAUUCAGUAUAUAUGGUAUAUUUAUAACAAGUUUCAGGUUUUAGCAAAUGAAAUGAUUUUAAAUUUUUUAUAACACAUUACAUAGUAAAAAAAAAAGAAAAAGUCCAAAAAUUUGAGAGAAAGGAUAAGUAAGGAUCCUAGCUAAUGAGAGGUGCCACAUAGACAUAACUAUAACUUUCUUUUAUAUAUACUAGUCUAAUGUACGUGCGUUGCAUGUGUAUCUCCUGUCAAUCAAUAAUACUAUACAUAAGAAAAAUAAAAUUAUUAAAAGGUAGAUAUUAGAAUAAAGAAUUAGGUAGCAAUCUAAUGAAAAUUUGCAUAUUAACUAACAAUUCAGUCAUUGAAAGUUUUGAUCUGUGCGAAUCUUGACACUCAAUUGAGACCCAACCUUAAUCGUAAAAUCAACUCCCAAGAUCCUGAUUCCUGACCUGACAUGGGACAUGAAUUUGUAUCUUGACCUGUGAUUGGACUUACUGUCCAACUCUAUACCUUUAACUCCAAUUCCUGACUCUUAACCUUGAACCAAACCCGAAGCCCUAGACUCGGGAUCCAACUUUGAUAUGGGACCCGACUUUAAAUUCGAUUUCAAUCCCGAAACUCGAUAAUCGACCCAUGACUCCAAUCGAGACUUGAGUUUCGACCCAACUUCAGAUUCAAUUCUCAAAAAAAUUAAAUAAAGAAAGAGAUAAAACUUUAAUUUUUUCAACUAUUUCAUUCUUCGACGACAUAUUUAUUUUGUCCAAUAUUUUAAUCAGAAAUUAUAUUUUCCCCCAAAAUUCUAUUAGAAACUAAAUUUUCAAUAUAACAUAAAAAAUAUAAAAUUUUCACGUUGUAUCAAUGUAUGUAAUACUUUGUAUAUUUUGUGUAUUGCAUAUAUGUGGGUAUGUUGUUGAUCUGUUCAUUUUUGCACAUACAUAUUUAGAGUGAACAUUUGAAUUUUUAGUUCAUCCAAGAAAGCCUUGUCUUAAAGUUAGACAUGAUUAGUCUUUUUAAUCAAUUCAUAGACGACAUUAAAUACACAUGUCAUUUAGAAGUACCUAACAUAAAAUAUUUCACUUGAAUCGUAUAAUAAUUUAAUUUAACUCUUUUAUUAUUUUUUCCUUUUCAUCAUCCUAUCCCCCCCCCCCCCCUUAAAUUUGGUUAUAUAAGUGAUUUGACUUAUUUGUUUUUCUAGAAUCUUUAACCAUUUUUUUUUUAAAAAAUAUAAUAUAAAACUUCUUCGACAAAAUAUAGGUGAGAUUUAAAUUAUGGCUUUUGCAGUUAAAAUUUUUUAUUUUUUAGUGGAAGACUUGAGUUCUUAGAAUCUACACGUAAUCUAAUCAUACUAUAUUAGAAGUAAAUUGCACAUAAAAGUACGUCAUUACAAAAAAAUAUGACUAAUAAAGCAAAAAGAAUUUGACAUUUUAUUCAAAUUUAUGACCUAUAUAAAAAGGAGAGAAUAAUAUAUGUUUGCAUAAUUAAAGUAACUUUUACAUUAUUUAUUCAAGAACUUGUUGUAUGAACAUUUAUUUUGUCCUCAAAUAUAUUUUGACUAUUAAAUUAGAGUAGAAAACAGUAGAGAUAUUUAUCAUAAAAACAGACAAAUUUGCUAUCUUUAAAGGUAAACUUUAGACACAAGUUAUCCUCACCCGACAUCACCCAAUAUGAAGAAACAAACACACAAAAAGUUAAAAGGAUUUAACAUCUACUUCAUAUAUAUAAAAUAAUUUCAAUCAUAUACUCCAUAAAUGGUGUAACUCUUCCUGCGAAGAAAAUAUGGAUGAAGCCCCCUUACCUUACCAAGCUCAGCCACGUCCUUCACACACAAAAUAUGAAUUGUUAGUGUAAUUAAAGUUUUAUAUUAUCAAAUCAUCUAAAGAUAAUUAGAGACAAAAAGUAGUUAAAUAUAAAAUGUGAAAUCUUGAAAGCAAGACAAAGUUACCUUCUAAAAUGAUGAUUUGAUGAAUGUGACUUAAACUCAAAAUGAAACUAAACUUGAUGUUUGUACUUAAACUUAAAACAAAACUAAGACAUGUCACACCCCUUUUUUAACUCCAAAAAUUAGAUUUUAAGGUUCGAAAGAGUUUUUAUUAUUAAAGUGACCAAAUGAAGAAAAGUUUGUUUCCAAAAAGGACUAUUUACAUUUUUUAUUCAGGGUCGCCACUUGGUAUAAUCCAGUGUGCCAAGUCACCUUUGCAAAAUCCUUUUCAAAACUAUUUUGACUCUUUUAAAAUUGGUUUGCGAACAGAGAUACGGCUCAGGAAUUCUGUUGAUCGAGGGGAAGGUGUUAGGCAUCCCUCGAUCCCGUGGUUAGCCCACGAUCGCUUGGUGGAGCGUUUUGGCUAAUUCGACACUAAAAAUGUAUAAACCAUAUAAACACACAACAAUUAAGCAAACAAACACAAACCAAAAUAAAUUUCAAAAAUAUACGGUUCAGCCCAAUUAUACAGUCCAAAGUAAAAAAAAUGCGAAAAAUAUAAAUUCUAUUCUAACCUAUACUAAUCCUAAACUGUGCUCCCAUGCUCUACCCGAUGCCUCGGGCCUUCGCCACGAAUGUCCUCCGAGUACAAAAUACUUCGGGGCAUUUUUCGGAUAAAAUAAUACAAGUACUUCGGGGCAUUCCCCAGCCAAAUGAUACAUUUGAUCCAAAUUUAUAAAAUAAAACCAUUUAACAAAUAUUUUGAACAUUCAACAAUCCACAAGUUCGAAAUUCGCCUACCCAAACCUACUAUUUGCCUACCCGACUCGACCUAUCAUGAUUCUAUUACAUUCAACAUCAUCAAUGGAUCAAAAUUAACCCGGAUUUAAUCAACAUUAAUAUCCAUUUCAAAUCAAACAAUCUAUUCAAAUUACUUCAUUGACUUUCGAUUCCCAUCCCAAAUCAUUUUUAAUCAUUGUUCCAACAUAACAAAUCAAUGAUAAUAUUUCAGCAAUCCAUAAUCAAUAUCACUCGACAUUCAUCAUUCACAUCACACAUAAGAUAAGAAAAAGUCAAGACGAUAACAAUCAACCAUACACAACAAUAAAAAUUAACUAAGGAUAAGAAUGAGAUAAAGAGAUGGACCUUAAAUUGGGGAUUUUAUUCAACCAAUUGAACUGAUUUCAACGACGACGGGAAUCUAAUGGACCAAUGAACCACGGACAAACCCCAAACUAGAACCCCAAAAUCUUAAAGACAAACCCAGUGAUAUUUCUGGCUAGUUUUUGUUCGAAGAUCAACUGAAACAGAGAAAAAUCUGAGCUGUGGUGGUACUGGUGAAUUCCCGAGAGAGUCUAUAGCUCCACGAGCUCAGAUGGGUCAGAAAACAGAGAGUAGAUCAAAUCUUAAGCGAUAGGGAUGUUUUUCGGCGAAAAAUCAUCGGAAUAGCCAACCCAUCAUUGAUUUUCUCUCUCUCGAUCUCCGAUUUCUCUCUGAAACCCCCUCUCUAUCACUCAAUUCUCUCUCUUCUCUCCUGAUCUAUGCGUCUUCGUGAGUACGAGAGUGAGCUGUGCGUUUCCCUGUGUGUGUUCAAUUUUGUGAGGUGAAGAAGAUGAAUUUUAAUGAAUUUGCUGUGAGUGUUCUCGUGUGCAAAUGGUGAGUGGAUUGUUCUCUAUGGCUCAAGAAAAAUAAAAUCGUGUAUGCGUAUCCCCCCUCCUUUCUUGUGGAUGAUAAUGAUAUAUGGUGAGUAUAUCUAGUGGGACCCGUGAGUGUGAUGAAUGUUAUGCUCAAUUCUGUUAAGGGAAUAUGUUGUGGGGUCCUCCUCUUAGUUUUUCAAUUCUAUUAUGAUGAUGGUAUAUAUAUUUCUAUUGGCAUAUUGUGUGAAUGGUGCCUUUGAUUAGUUGCAAAAACUUGUAAAAGAAUGGUUAGAAGGGACACGUGGGGCAGGGGUGAGGUGAGGUAGAGUGUGGGGUAGUGUGGUGAGGUGUCCGCUUUUAAUUGGAGAGGUUGUUAGGAUAGGAUUAAAACAAGAUAAAAUUUGUUAAGGAUGUUAUUUUUGUCAUUUUAUGGAGGGAUAAUUACAUGGUUGAGGGUACACAAUAGGAUAAGGUAAAAUUGAGUAAAAGUGAUAUCGGGGAGGAACAAAAUUAUGUGUCUAUAUCAUGCCCCCUUUGAAUGUAAACACGAAGUAUUUUCAGACAAAGAAGUAGACAACGAUACAAAAUUUUGUCUCGACCAUUAUUCAAGGAAAUAAAAGGAAGAAGAGCAGCUGGGUCUUGACUUAGGACAUUCUACCUGCCUAAGUUGUGAGGGAAUCAUGUCACGUGUAUUUCAGAGGAUUUGAGAGAGAAGGACUAUACCGAAUUGGAGAGUCGAGUGAGGUUCCAUCGAGGUUCCGGUCCGCGGCUCUGUCAUUAAUCAACAAUGAAAAUUAUAAGUUAAAACAUAAAUGAAAUUACAAAAUUCUAUCUACGCAGCUUAUUUUUGGACUCUUGACUUUAGUUUCAUCACCCUAUUCUUUAGGCGGGCUCCUGACUUGCAAUUUCUUCAACUUGUUGCUUGCCUUUCAAUUUCUACACCCUGUUCUUCAGGUGGGUUCCUGACUUGCUAUGUCAUUAAAUUGUUGCUAUGCUUUCAAUUUCUUCACCCUGUUCUCCAGGCGGGUUCCUGACUUGCUAUUUCAUCAACUUGUUGCUAUGCUUUCAAUUUCUUCACCUUGUUCUGCAGGCGGGCUCCUGACUUGCUGUUUUUUAAUCUGUUUAACUUUUAAUUUCUUUACCUUGUUGCUUGGUUUUCCAUUUAUCCGCACUGUGCUUCGAGCAGGCUCCUGAAAUCACAUCAAAACGGGAAAGAAGAUUAUCCCAAACAAAAUUAUUAUAAAGAGAUCAGUUGCUAGAAAAGUGAAGUUCCAAACAACAAGAAUUAAAUUUUGCUCCAGUUUAUCAUCAAAGGACUUUUGUGAAAGUCACAUCAUUAUAGGAAUUAGGGAGAAUGACUCGACUAUAAGGUACGUCUUAUAGGAAUCAAAAGAAUUGACUCGACUAAAAGGUACGUCUUCUAGGGGUUAAGGGGAAUAAACCAACUAAAAGGUACGUCUUAUAGGAAUCAAGUAAGAUAACUCAACUAAAAGGUACGUCUUAUAGGAGUCAAGGGGAUGACUCGACUAAAUGGUACGUCUUCUACGGGCUAAGGGGAAUGAAUCGACUAAAAGGUAUGUCUUAUAGGAAUCAAAAGGAAUGACUCGGCUAAAAGGUACGUCUUAUAGGAAUCAAAGGAGAUGACUCGACUAAAAGGUACGUCUUAUAGGAAUCAAAGGGAAUGACUCGACUAAAAGGUACGUCUUAUAAGAAUCAAAGGGAAUGACUCGACUAAAAGGUACGUCUUAUAGGAAUCAAAGGAGAUGACUCGACUAAAAGGUACGUUUUUUAGGAAUCAAAGGGAAUGACUCGACUAAAAGGUACGUCUUCUAGGGGUAAAGGGGGAUGACUUGACUAAAAGGUAUGUAUUAUAGGAAUCAGAGGGAAUGACUCGACUAAAAGGUACGUCUUCUAAGAGUCAAAGGGAAUGACUCGACUAGAAGGUACGUCUUUUAGGAAUCAAGAGGGAUGACUCGACUAAAAGGUACGUCUUCUAGGAAUCAAAGGGAAUGACUCGACUCAAAAGAACCUGUUCGUGGAUGACUCGACUAAAAGGUACGUCUUAUAGGAAUUAAAGGAAAUGACUCAACUAAAAGGUAUGUCUUAUAGGAAUCAAAGGAGAUGACUCGACUAAAAGGUACGUCUUAUAGGAAUCCAGGGAAAUGACUCGACUAAAAGGUACGUCUUCUAAGAGUCAAGGGAAAUGUCUCGACUAGAAGAUAUAUCUCCUAAGAGUGAAGGUUUAAUUUAAGAAGUGUAUCACCUAGCAAAUAAAAACUGAAAUCCCUAGACAAGAAAGUGUGUCUCCGAGGGAUAUAAGAUGAUGAUUUUUUACCAUGAUUUGAUUAUCAAACCUGUGCAACAACAUUGCUUUCUGCAUUUGUAGAAGUGAUAAAUUAUGGCCUUUGUUGUUUAGGAAUAGAAAUCCUUGAUUUGAAGGUAACCUGUUCCUGUUUCAUACAAAGAAAACUUCUGAGUUUAAAACAUGAUGGCUGGUUUGUGGCUUUGGCUUUCAAGGCAAUCGCUCUUGCCCCAAUCAUAUUUAACCUUGCUUCCAACCAUUAGCAUAUGUCAUUGGCUUUUUGCAUCAUUGAAUAAAACUCAGGUUAUUAAGAAUGACAGAAACGAACACAAUAUCUCUGCUUUGCCAUGCUUCUCAGAUAGACCUUUGAACCUUGGUAUUUCCAUGAGUUCCCUGAAUUCUCUAUUUACAAAACUUUAUACAUAUCCUUUUUGGCUCACAAUCAUGUCUCUUUCAUAUGCUAGAUUUUGUCUUGCUUUGUGCAAUUAAUGAAGCUGGUUGCUAGUUUUGAAAUCUUUUCUCACUUUUUUUUACACAGACUUGACUCAAAGACAAGAAAAUAAAAUAGAAUGACAAUUUUUAUUUGGAUAACUGACUCAAGAAAGAUAAACAAAAAUAAAGAGAAGAAAGAAAAGACAAAGAAUUUCCCCAUUUGAAAUAAAAAAAUGACAAAUUCAUUAAAAUAACGACAGUCAACUCUAAUGAUUAUGCCAUGAAUUUUAGAUUAAGCAGCUUGAUCUUUUCAUCUAAACUUUCUACCAAUUGUUGUUGAGUUAACGGCCUUGAAACUGAGUUACUUUCUUAGGUCAAUUGCAUUUACGACCGCAUUCGGCUAGUGGCGCCUUAAAGGGUUUUCGCCAACAAGCCUCUCUCAUUUUUCUCUUAGCUCACCAUCGCCUUAUGGUGCCCGUGAGGGUUUUCACCAAUAAGACUCUCAUUUAUAUUUCUCUCAACUUACCAUCGCCUUACGGUACCCACGAGGGUUUUCACCAAUAAGACACUCUCAUUUUACUUCUUUCUUGAUUUCUUAUGUGAGGAAGACAAGUAGUUCCCAAAUGCAUCAUCAUAUCCCUUGCAUGUUUAGCCUUAACAUCCUCAAGGAUUGAUCUGAAGGUCUUUCUUUGGUUGUAACUUGACUUUUGGAUAGGGUUAGAAAGAAAGGAUGGUAUGGGGCCCGAACGACAAUUGAAGUGCGGUGGGACUUACAACUUUUAAAAUCGAAUCAAACAAUAAGGAUUAACUUAUGCCCCAGUUUCUUUUGACUGGGCAAUUCUAAACUAUUUAUUUGGUUGGACCGAGCCCAGAGUAGGGCAGCCUACGUAUCUCACCCCCGUGAGAGGAGAAUCAGGUCACGCGUAGUUCUGGCGGCUUAUUCUUUUGCUUGAUUCUGAUUUUUUUUUCUUUUGCUGACUCUUUUAUUGUCUUUUUUUUCUUUUUGGGACCUUCUGACUCUAUUUUUUCUUGACGCUCUUUUCUUUUCCUUCUUUUGGACAUAUUUUUCUGUCGUUUCUUUUUGAAACUUUCUGACUCUAUUAUUUUACUCGACACUUUCUUGUGAGCUUUGCUGACUCUAUCUUGAUUCCAAAAGAGAGGUAUGAAAGAAAAUAGAACUAAAGCUCAAAUGGGGUAAACAAAGGAUGACACAAUGCUUGGAUAGUAGAAUGAAAUGCCUUCAUCAUAUCAAUCCUUAAAAAUGCAAGUACAUAUCAUGCAAUAUGAAAGUGAGAGAUGAAAAUCAUUUGUGAUACUUUCACAAUACUAACUUUAACUGAGCAUGUGUACCACUACUUCUUCUGGGCUUGUCAAACAUACAACUCUGCCUUUGUUAUGCAUCCCUCACAUUGAAUGACCCAUGCUUUCAUGGAGUUGAUUUUAUUUCUGUUCCUCUUGAUAGGAUCACACAGACACUGUUUGACCUAAUUAAGAUAUGUCUUUCAAUUGAUGACCAAGUUAUUCUUGUAAUUCUCAAAUUAAAAGUCUCAAUUUUCAAAGAAGGUUUCAACUUUAUCACCAAAUGCCCCAGCACUCUAUCUAUUUUCUCAGAUACUCUCUUUUCCUAAUCUUAACUCUCUGAUUUAAUGCUUCAUGAUUAAGCUGGAUUUUAAGAUCUGACUGAAAAUUUUGAAGGCAUGUCAUAUCACUAGAAUCAACAUAAAAUGUACUGUAUAAAUAAAACAAACAGACAACACAUAUUUGAAACAUAAAAGAAAAGGGACACUUCAUUUAGUUGAAAUAAAAGAUAAAAAGGUUUGAACAUAAACGAUAAAUAGACAAAACAAGAUAGAUCCUGAACUACAACCCUGAAAUAAUUUGAAAAACAGAAAAGAAAACAAAAUAAACUACCAAACGUUUUUCUAGUAGGGAGAGGGGUGACUUAUCAAUUGCUCAGCCUGACAUAUUAGCCACUAGUUUGCAUAUCAGCAUGACUAGAGCUUCUACCACUGUCAGACACAUUUUCUUCAACAAAUAAGUUCUGGAUCCCCAUGCUUAACUCAUUGCCUCCCACAUAUUGUGCGGUAUCGCGUGCUGGUGAAGAACUCUGUGGGAUAGUCGAAGGGCCAAUGUUUUGCACCACAAUCAAUUUAUCUUGAAUUAUCUUUUCUAUAUCUCUUUUCAAAGUACGACAAUCUUCAGUACUAUGACCCUGAACAUCAGAAUGAUAUGCACACCGUACAUUAGGAUCAAAAUUUCUUGAAUGUGGGUCAGGUGUAUACCCAAGGAGAGGAGUAAUCAUGCCCUUCUAUCUCAAUCUCUAGAACAAACUAGUAUAGGACUUCCAAAUAAAAGUAAAAUUAUCCUUUUCCUUCCUCCUUUUUGCGAACUCUGGCCUCGGAUAAAACUUGGAUUUAGAGGUUCCUUGGUAAAUUCGUGGGGGUCGAGGACGAUGUUGAGGGACAGGUGCAUGCCAUUGUGGAUAAGAAGACGGAUGGGUACACAAUUGUGCAUUGUUCAAAGGACAUUGAGAAAGUGGAAUGGAACUCCUUGGAUUUUGAAAAGAGGAACCUUGUUGCAGAUGAAUAAGUGGAUUUGAUAUGUAAGCUUGGGAUUGAUGCUGACAGUAUUGGUGAUUUAGACCUCUCAAACUCUGCUUUGGCUCUGGCACGACAAUAGAUGUGUUUUCCUUCUUCUUUCUUUCAGUUUCCCUUGAUUGAUUACAAUAUCGUCCCAAAUGUUUCAUAGAAUCAUGCUGUCCACCAAGCUCCUCAAGUUUGGAUGUCUCAAAUCUUGGAGAAAGGUUAACACUUGAAAACAUGCCCCCGCUUUUAUACGAAACAUCUCCAUAUAGCCCACAAGUCCCAAGGAACUUUUCAUUUAAUUUUCUAUAGUCUUAACUUUCCCAACCAUUUUCUCUGGCUCUUCUAGCAUGCUAGGCUUCUGAGUAAGAAAUUUUGGCGGUCCACUUAACUUAACUGUAGGAUCAAGAGUAUAACAAUGAUCAUCAUGAGUAUUGAACGUGGAUUCACUAGUGUACUGAGGAAUCACAAUCAGUGGAUUGAUAGCCAAAGUGGAAGCCUUAGUAGAAGGUUGAGCAAUAAAAGCACAAACGGUAUGUGGUGCUGUGAAUGUGGUAGACUUAUGCUCAAGAGAUAAAGAAAAAGUGGUGGAAGUAUUAAGGUGCAUUUGACGAGGAAUGGAUUCUGACGCAUGCUGUGGUGCAUCAACAACAGUAGGAAACUGACUUUGCAAUUUUGGUGGAAGACUCAAGGUAUUUGCAGGGUCAAAAGUGGGGAACGGAGGUGGAGGCAGCCCACUGGCCCAAGAUCGAUAUAUUUCCAUCAUUUGUUGUCUUAGUCUCAAAUUCUCUUCCUUUAAAUUCUCAUUUUUCUGACUCUUUGUUUGAUCUAUGAGACCAUUCUCUGUAUCCUUGUUGGACAAAGCUAAACAUUCGUCAGAUUUGGUGUGAUGUGGAAGACCAUCCAAAAUGUCACAAACCAACCACCUUAAACUGACUCAACAAAAAACACAAAUACGUUAGAGUUCAAGACUUUCUCAAAAUCUUUUUUUUCUUUUUUUCUUUUUGAAAAGGUCACCGAACCCAAGAAGGGCGCCUACGUAUCUCACCCCCGAGAGAGAAGAAUCAGGUGUACGUAGUUUGUGAAGUCUUGCCAAAAUGGCCAAUUAAACUCUUUUCUCUUUUUUUUUUCUUGAAAAGAAAAAUGACAAAUUGUCAAAAGAAUAGACGAAUUUUUUUUUUUGAAUUUUUCGGCUUUAAUGACCUAUACAAAAUGAAACCUAUGAUUACCAAAGAAAAUCUUUUUGGAUUUUCAAUUUUGCAUUUCAUUCAAAAAUGAACCUUGAACCUAUUAAAGGAAAAUCUUUUGUAGUUUUCUUUUAAAGAUGUAUAUGAAACACCUACUCUAAAUGAAGAGUGAAGAAAAUCUUUUUGAAUUUUUGAAUAAAAUCCUCGAACCAAUAAUAGGUUGUCUAUGUAUCUCACUCCCGAGAGAGGAGAAUCACGGGUGCGUAGUUCGUCCAAAUUGGACAAUUAAGGAUUAAAUGACAAACUAAACCCUGAAUUGAGAGACACGACUAAAGACAAACAAAUAAAGUUAUUUUUGAAUUUUUAAUUAGAAACUAACACCAACAACUAUGAAAGAAAAAAUCUUUUUGAUAUUUUUCAUUAUAUAAAAUUGUACAAAGCUCCUAUAGAAAGGAAAAAAUAUUUUUUUUGGAUUUUUCGAAUUGUGAAUACUUACUAAAGAAAUAAAAGGAAAAUCUUUUUAAUGGUUUUAAUUUUUGGGGAAAUGAGUGCAAAAAGUGAAAAAAAUAUUUUUUUUUUGAAUUGUGAAAAACAAAAGCCAUAAAGAACCCUGAAAACUACCAAAUCUCUUUUUUUCAUUCUUUUUUUUCUUCACUUUUUUUUUUCAACAAUUUCUUGCCUACACACUUUGCUUCUAACUCAUGCUUUUGCCCAAAUCAGUCUAUCAAAUGACUUCGUUACCCUCAAAGAUGCAACAUUUACCACGUAGGGAUCUUUAGAGGUGAGUCUCCUACAAAGGGCCACGUGGAUCCUGCUAGAUCUCAAUAUAAUGCAAAUAAGCAUGACCUAAAGGCUGGCCUGUGCUGGGGUUCACUAACAAGGCUGUUUGGGGAAGCGUAUGGUCGAUAGUGACUGCGCUAGCUUUCCACCCACUCCAUAUCAGCCGACGGCUCCCCCUCCUAAAAAAUAAGAGUGACUCAACUAUAGGUCGUGUAUACAGUGUGUACAACAAAACUUGUUGCAGAAAGAAUUGACUCGGGUUAUGCAAAUGAUGCUAGUUAUAAAGCGGUAACACAUAAGAGAAAAACUGUAAGCACGUAGCACGUAAACACUCCACAAUGAUAAAACAAUAACACAAAAUAACACGAACAAAAUGUUUAUACACCUAUAGUGCUAAAUAAGCCGAUAAAACUUCAAAAAUAAGCUCGAAUUCUGAAAUGUAAUCCCCAGUGGAGUCGCCAGAGCUGUCACACCCUUUUUUUUAACUCCAAAAAUUAGAUUUUAAGGUUCGAAAGAGUUUUUAUUAUUAAAGUGACAAAAUGAAGAAAAGUUUGUUUUGAAAAAGAACUAUUUACAUUUUUUAUUCAGAGUUGUCACUUGGCAUAAUUCGGUGUGCCAAGUCACCUUUGGAAAAUCCUUUUCAAAACUGUUUUGACUUUUUUAAAACUGAUUUGCGAACAGAGAUUCUGGCUAAGGAAUUCUGUUGACCGAGGGGAAGGUGUUAGGCACCCUUCGAUCCCGUGGUUUGCCAACGGUCGCUUGGUGGAGUAUAUCGGCUAAUUUGAUACUAAAGAUGUAUAAACCAUAUAAACACACAACAAUCAAGCAAACAAACACAAACCGAAAUAAAUCCCAAAAAUAUAAUGUUCAGUCCAAUUAUACAGUCCAAAGUAAAAAAAUGUGAAAAAUAUAAAUUCUAUUCUAACCUAUACUAAUCCUAAACUGUGUUCCCAUGCUCUACCCGAUGCCUCGGGCCUUCGUCACGAAUGUCCUCCGAGUACAAAAUACUUCAGGGCAUUUUUCGGAUAAAAUAAUACAAGUACUUCGGGGCAUUCUCCGGUCAAAUGAUACAUUUGAUCCAAAUUUAUAAAAUAAAACCAUUGGACAAAUGUUUUGAACAUUCAACAACCCACAAGUUCUAAAUUCGCCUACUCGAACCUACUAUUUGCCUACCCGACUCGACCUAUCAUGAUUCUAUUACAUUCAACAUCAUCAAUGGAUCAAAAUUAACCCGGAUUCAAUCAACAUUAAUAUCCAUUUCAAAUCAAACAAUCUAUUCAAAUUACUUCAUUAACUUUCGAUUCCCAUCCCAAAUCAUUUUUAAUCAUUAUUCCAACAUAACAAAUCAACGAUAAUAUUUCAGCAAUCCAUAAUCAAUAUCACUCGACAUUCAUCAUUCACAUCACACAUAAGAUAAGAAAAAGUCAAGACGAUAACAAUCAACCAUACACAACAAUAAAAAUUAACUAAGGAUAAGAAUGAGAUAAAGAAAUGGACCUUAAAUUGGGGAUUUUAUUCAACCAAUUGAACUGAUUUCAACGACGACGGGAAUCUAAUGGACCAAUGAACCACGGACAAACCCCAAACUAGAACCCAAAAUCUUAAAGACAAACCCAGUGAUAUUUCUGGCUAGUUUUUGUUCAAAGAUCAACUGAAACAGAGAAAAAUCUGAGCUGUGGCGGUACUGGUGAAUUCCCAAUGAGAGUCUAUAGCUCCACGAGCUCAGAUGGGUCAGAAAACAGAGAGUAGAUCAAAUCUUAAGCGAUAGGGAUGUUUUUCGGCGAAAAAUCGUCGGAACAGCCUACCCAUCAUUGAUUUUCUCUCUCUCGAUCCCCGAUUUCUCUCUGAAACCCCCUCUCUAUCACUCAAUCCUCUCUCCUGAUCUAUGCGUAUUCGUGAGUAUGAGAGUGAGCUAUGCGUUUCCCUAUGUGUGUUCAAUUUUGUGAGGUGAAGAAGAUGAAUUUUUAUGAAUUUGCUGUGAGUGUUCUCGUGUGCAAAUGGUGAGUGGACUGUUCUCUAUGGUUUUGAAUUGUGUGUUUGUGAACAAAGAAGAAGAAAAAGAAAAUUAUGUAUGCGUAUCCCCCCUUCUUUAUUGUGGAUGAUGAUGAUAUAUGGUGAGUAUAUCUAGUGAGAUCCGUGAGUGUGAUGAAUGUUAUGCUCAAUUCUGUUAAGGGAAUAUGAUGUGGGGUCCUCCUCUUUCUUUUUCAAUUCUAUUAUGAUGAUGGUAUAUAUAUUUAUGUUGGCAUAUUGUGUGAAUGGUGCCUUUGUUUGUUGCAAAAACUUGUGAAAGGAUGGUUAGAAGGGACACAUGGGGCAGAGGUGGGGUGAGGUAGGGUGUGGGGUAGUGUGGUGAGGUGUCCGCUUCUAAUUGGAGAGGUUUAGGAUAGGAUUAAAACAAGAUAAAAUUUAUUAAGGAUGUUAUUUUUGUCAUUUUAUGGAGGGAUAAUUACAUGGUUGAGGGUUCACAAUAGGAUAAGGUAAAUUGAGUAAAAGUAUUAUCGGGGAGGGACAAAAUUAUGUGUCUACAAGACAAUUUCACUAACUAAUACAACUGCUAUACGAAAAAAAUUCAACAGAAAAUAUCACCACGCUCUUUAUUCUCUUUCGACACUUCAUAAAAGCCUCCCUUUCCCAUUUCUUUUUCUUUUACUUUCUCAAUCAUAUCACUGCAAACUGCAAGAGCUUUAAAAGAUGUUGAAAAUGAUUAACAACAUAACACUAUUAGUUUAUUUGCUUCUUGUGAUCAUCUUAGUGGCUAAUCAUAAGUCCUAAUUUAUUUUUAAGAAAUUUAGUUGGAAAAAAAAAGGUGAAAAGACAGAUUUUCAAAGAGUUUGAAUCACCUUUCUAAGGGUCUUACCUUUUGCUCUUAACUCGUUACAACCAUAUAUCUUUUCUAGGAGCUUUCAUCUUCGAUCGAACAUUCAUCUAAAAUAUACACUUGAAAUUAAUAAAAUUGUUAAACCGCACCUUCAAAGCUCAUCGAAAAAGUAGUUAUAAAAAUAUCUCUGCCACCAGCAUUCCUAAACCAAACAAAAUCUGAAAAAAAUAUAAUAUAAUAUAAUAUAAUAUAAUACAAUACAAUACAUUAUAAAAUAUUAUGUAAUAAAUACCUGUGGACUUGGCCUUUAACCUGGUUGGAGAACUCAUUGAGUACAUUAUAAAAACCAAUACCAACAGUAGCCAAAAACCACUGCCUCAUCACUUUUAGCUACUCUAAACUCUCCUUAUCUAAUGCAUUCUUCAUUGCCUAUAUAUUCAACCUUAACUACAAACUUCACACAUUAUUAAAUCUUACUUAGCAAUCUAAGGAGUCAGAAAACCAAAAGCAAAGAAAACAAGAGUUACAUUUUAGAAGAAAUUAAGUCAAAAUGAAUUCAAGUAGGAGAGCAUGGAUAGUAGCUGCAAGUAUUGGAGCAGUUGAAGCCUUAAAAGAUCAAGUUGGAUUGUGUAGAUGGAAUUACCCAUUAAGGUCUUUGGCACAACAUACAAAGAAUAACAUAACGUCUUACCCUCAAGCCAAGAAACUUUCUUCUUCACUAAUUGCUAACAAAGUAGAACAAUCGGAAGUUAUACAAUAUAAUAUAAUAUAAUACAAUACGAUACAUUAUAAAAUAUUAUAUAAUAAAUACUUGUGGUAACUAAAUGGAUAAACAUGUUACACGUGUGCUUCAUGUUGAAUCGCCAAUCGAUAUAAAAUAUAUAAAAGAAACAUAAAAAUAGUCACGUAAAUAAAAAAUUAUUUUUAAAAUCACAUAACAAAUAACAAAAACAAAAACAACAUAUAGUGACAAAUUUGAAAACAAACCUGUUGUAGUGGAACUAAUAUUCGAUGGAAAGUAUGAUUACUUUUAUACAUAAGCAAAUCACGUAAGAACUUUUUGCUAGCCAUAUUCCAAUUGUGUUGUAUUUGUUUAAAAUUAAAAGGAGAGGAUAUAACAACAUUUGAAAUCAUACAAUCACAAUAUCAAUUAUGAAUUACCGAUCAAACUUAAAAAUCAAUAACAAUAAUCUCAUAAAUGUGAUCUGAAAAGGAUAGGAUGUUCGAACAUCUUACUCUUUGCAUGAAAGUGAGAUUGUUUUCAAUAGUCUCCGACUUGACAAAACAUAAUAGAAUAACGAAUAAAGCAAGUGGUCAAUAGUUGUGUUAGAUUUUGACAAGAAACAAAUAAUAGGUUGAGUAGGUUGAGAAAUUGCCGUAGUGAUGUAACAAUAUGAUCCCUGCGAGCAAUAUUAUCACCUAUUCAUGGUGGCACUCGAUCUCCAUCUAUCGAAGUUUGCAGAGAGAUGAAGCGGCCGUGUCAAGUAUGUUAUUUCAAAAUUUGAUCAUAAUAUUACUUAAAUAGAAUUAAUUUUUUUUAAUUAUUUUAUAUAAGGUAAAGUUUAAAUUGAUCUAGAAUUCAUUAUUAUGAUUUCCUAUCUACAUCAAACAAGGCCUUUCAUUAUUUUUUUACAUAUAUAGUAUUCUUUUCAUAUAUUUUAGGAGUCAUUAAUUUCUUUUUAUACAUAUAUUUAGGGGUCUUUAAUCAAAUUAAAAUUAUAAACAUUCUUUUUUAUAUAUGAAGUGAAACUCUAAUUUAUUUAGAAGUGUUAAAUAUUAUUAAUUCUUAUCUAAAUUAAAUAAUUUUUUAAUUAAUUUGAAAGUCUUAAAUCUUUGGACAAUCAUUAUACCUCCUUUUUUUUUUGCUUCUUAUUUUUUUUUCAUUUUCAUCCAUAAUUUUCUUUUUAUUAUUAUUAAAUUUUUUUCCUUUUCAUGCCUAGCUUUUUUAGGUAGGACUUUCUAUCUCCACUAAAUAUUUAACACACUUAAUUUUAAAGAGACUUUUUCUUUCCUCUAUUAACGGAUUUCCCCUUAAAUUUUGGUGCUUUUAAUUCCUCUUCACAAGCCACUUCUUAUUUGUUGUUUUGGUAUUAUAUUUUAUUUUUUGAAAAAUUUUCCUCUAUUAUUCUGAUUUUUUCUCAAAUUUCGACAUUUAUAGUUCCUUAUUUAAAUAGAAUUAUAGAUUUAUUUUUUUAUAUAAGAUAAAUUUUAAUUGACUUAAAAGUGUUAAAUAGUAUCAUUUCUUACCUAGAUCAAAAAGGCCUUUAAUCAAUUUUAAAAUAUUAAAUAUUAUAUAAUUUAAUAAUAUAAUAAUUGAAGAAAAUACGUGAAAAUACAAUUUUGUCUAUUGCAGGGACUUUUAAUAAAGGGCAAAAAGUUCAAAUCACCUUUUUAAGGGUCUUCACACUUUUAAUAUAUUAUAAAUUAUAAAUUAUAGAUAUAGAUAUAGAUAUAGAUUAUAGAUUAUAGAUAUAUUGAUUUGCUUGCAUCAAAAAUAAAUAUUAAGAAACGGUAAAAAUGUAGAUUUGCAAAUUUCAAAUAAAUUUAAAAUUGAUUUAUGUACCAAAUUGAUUGAAACUCAAAAUCAAUUCUCCUUCACUGUCUUUUGAAGAAUGUGCCCCCCACCUUAAUUACAUUAUUUUUAAAAAAUCAGUACAGUAGAAACGUCAAAAAAAAAUAAAAAAUUCAACAAAUUAGGGCCUAAAGAAAUAUUAAAUACACAACUCUCUAUGCUAUAUCAUCUUCAAAUCAUAAUACCCUCAACUAAGAGAAAAGAAAACCGCAAAUAAUCUAGUAAACAGUUGUAGUAGAAAUAGUUAAAAGGAAAAAAAAAAAUUACGAUGGCAAAUAACAUGUUAAAGUUGAUUUCUAUAAUUUUACUUACGAGCCAUUUCUCUUUUUCCUCAUCCAUUUUUAUUCCUCCAUUAUUUCGUUUUAUAUAUACUUUCUCCGUCUCAUUUUACUUGUUCCAAAUUUUCUAAUAUGAUUUUUCAUUUUACUUGUUAUUUUUCACAAUUUAAGAAGAGACAAAUUUUUAUUUUUUUUCAUGUUUUACCCUUUGCAGUAAUUACUUUUUCUUCAAAUUAAAAUAUAAACAUCAUUUAAUAUGAAUACUAUGAUAAAUUAAUUAUGUUAUUAAUUAUUUUUCUUAAACAAUAUGUCAAAUUAAAUUGGGACAAAUAAAAUGGGAUGGAGGAAAUAUCCUACAAUUAACAAUCAAAGCAUAUAGUAACAUUUUAUUGGGGAAAAUAAUGAAGCAGUGAUCAUGCAAUGUUCUAUACAUGUGCAUAUUAUAAAAGUGAUAAAAAGGAUACCAAAAGACCAUACAUGAAUGCAUAUUAAGAUAUCUAAUUAAGAGGAUAAUUACAAUGAGAGGUGAAAAGUUGAUUAAUUGAAUCUAAAUUUAUUUUAGACUAUUUAAAAUAAAAUAAAUAAAUAAUAAAGAGAAAAAAAAUCAAAAUAUCGAGAAAAACAUACAUAUGAAUGGAGAUUAUAAGGAGAUGCCACGUCAUUUUUUCUAUGACCAUCCUUUAUAUAAUAUAUAGAUUAGAGUAUUUACGUAUUAUUUAGAGAUAUGUCGUAAUAGAGAUGGAGGAAAGAGAGAGAGUAUUGAGAAGAGAGAAGAGUGUAAAUCAUGGAGAAAUACAUUUUGUAUUGUUUGUCAUGUACAUGACAUCAUGUCCGAAGGAUAACUAACUUAUUUAUUGACUAACCAAUAGAUUAACUAACUGAAUAACCAACUUACUGAUCAUGAAUUAGCUGAAGGUUGUAAUGACAGAAUGACCCUUUACUAAGUACUAACUAACUAACUAAUCUUAGCAGCAAUUUUAUUACAUAACCAAAUAGUUAUGCAAGUACCUAUAAACAGGCGCGGACCCACUAUGGUUCAAGUGGGUGUAUAUGAACCUAAUUCGUCAAAAAAUUAUACCGUAUAUAUAAUCAGUCUUUAUAAAGAUAAAUAUAUAUAUAUAUUUUUGUUUGAACCUACUAUGAUCAAGUUAAGUGGCUAUUCUAGUGGAAGGGGGUUCAAAUCCUAAGACAAGUGUCAUGAGUUCAAUCCCCUUGAGCAACAAUUUAAUUUUUGGUUGUCUUUUUUCCAAAAACAAACAGCCCCUAAUAUGUUAAUUCUUCAAUCCUUAAUUCCCCCUUAUUCCCCAUUCCCUACAAUAUAAAGAAGAAGCAAAAAAAAAUCUAAUUAUUACGGUUAUUUUUUAUUUCCUCAACUUAAAAAAAUUCUUUCUACUUAAAAUUGAAGAAAGCACAAUUGAUUUUCUCUUCAAUUUUAAUUACUUUUUUUACAAAUUUUUAAAAUUCAAAUACUUACAGUAACUCUUACUAAUCUAAUGAGACGAUUAAUUCGGCAAUACAGGUUCUAAAUUCAUUAAAGAGAUAUUUUGCUCCAGUAUCAUCAAAGUUGCCGCAAUCAAGUUCAUCCAUUCAAAAUACUCCUCGCGUGGAAGAGAACUUGAAUCAAGUAGAAGAAAAUCAUCAUUCUGCUAAAAGACAAAAGCAAAGAGUAAACUUGAAUUCUUUACUGGUAGAUCCAAAAGAAAGAAAAUUCAUUUGGGAAUAUAAUCUGAAUGAUCGUGAUGAGAUUAGGCGAGCAUAUAUUCAAAGAGGUCCUCAUCAACCUCGAGUUCGAGAGUUUCCUCAAAGAGAUAUUUCUGGAUUAAAAUGUCGUUUUAAUCGUAAAUGGUUUAAAAUAUAUCAUGAUUGGUUGGAGUAUAGUGAAAUUGAAGAUGUUGCUUAUUGUUUAUGUUGUUAUUUAUUUCAAGAUGAAAGCAUUCAUCAAGGUGGAGGUGAAACAUUUUCAAGUAUAGGAUUCAAAAGUUGGAACAAAAACAAAAGAUUAGAUAUGCACGUUGGAGGGCCGAACAGUGAUCACAAUAAGGUAAAGAAAAAGUGUGAAGAUCUAAUGCAACAAGAACAAUCAAUUGAAGCCGCAUUUGUGAAGCCAUCCAAUCAAACCAAGCUUGAAUAUAAAAUUUGUUUACAAGCUUCUGUUGAUGUGGUAAGACUCCUUUUGAAUUAAGGAUUAGCAUUUUGUGGACAUCGUGAAGAUGAAUCAUCAUUGAAUAAGGAUAAUUUUCUUGAAAUUCUUUCAUGGUAUGCAAGUCGGUGUGAUAGAAUUAGAGAUCUUGUGUUGAAAAAGUCUCCAAAAAAUAAUCAAUUGACUUUUCAUAAAAUUCAAAAGGAUAUUGUCACUGCAUGUAAACUUGAAACAGUUAAAGUUAUUAUGGAGGAUCUAAAUGGUGAUUAUUUCUCAUUGUUAGUAGAUGAAUCUUGUGAUGUGUCACGUAAGGAACAAAUUGCAAUUGUUUUGCGUUAUGUUGAUGGUGGGGAAUCUGUUGUGGAACGAUUUAUAGGGAUUGUCCAUGUUCAUGAUACUAGUGCUUUAUGUUUAAAAGAAGCAGUUGUUAACUAUCUUACUCAACAUUCUUUGAGUUUAUCUUGUAUACGAGGGCAAUGCUGUGAUGGAGCAAGCAAUAUGCAAGGACAUCUAAGUGGCCUUAAAGUUUUGAUUCAGCAAGAAAGUAGAUCAGCUCAUGCAAUUCAUUAUUUUGCUCAUCAACUUUAGUUGACUCUUGUUGGUGUAUCUAAAAAAUGUCUUCAAGUUAGAGAACUUGUUUUGUUGAUUUCCAAUGUAUUAAAUGUAGUAUGAGGUUCUUUUAAACGAAUGGAUGAAGUUCGACAAGCUCAAGCAGAAAAAGUUCAAGAGGCACUAGAUAUGGGUGAGAUUGAAACUGGUAAGGGCUUGAAUCAAGAACUUGGUCUUGCUAGAGAUGCUAAUACUCGUUGGGGUUCACACUAUAAAUCGUUUAAGAACUUUAUUAGUAUGUUUGGUUCUAUUACUGAUGUCCUUGAUACUAUUGUUGUUGAUUCUGAAUCUGUUGAAGAAAAAGCUAGGGCAACAGGAUAUCUCAAAACUUGUCAAACGUUUGAGGUUGCUUUCAUAUUGCACUUAAUGAGAGAUAUUUUAGCAAUCACAAAUGAGCUUAAUGAAUCCUUACAGAAAAAAGAGCAAGAUAUUGCAAAUGUUGUUCUACUUGUUAAAGUAGUAAAGAAACAAUUGCAAGAUUUACAGGAUGAAGGAUGGGAUCCACUUAUCAAAAAUGUAUCGGCAUUUUGUGUCAGGUAUGAUAUUUUGAUACCCAAUUUUAAUGAUUUUUAUGUUAAUUUUGGAAGAUCUCGACGAAGAGUUGCUGAUUAUACUAUUUGACAUCACUAUCGCGUGGAAGUAUUUCUUAAGAUUAUUGAUUGACAACUUUAAGAACUCAAUGAUCGUUUUAAUGAGGUGAGAACAUAUUUGCUUAUUGGGAUUGCUUGUUUGAAUCCUAUUGACUCAUUUUCUAAUUUUGACAUAAAUAAAAUAUUGAGAAUGGCUGAAUUAUAUCCUAAUGAUUUUGUUGAAAAUAUAAUGGUUACUCUCAAGAGUCAGCUAGAGACUUAUAUUAUUGAUGUUCGUCAUGUUGAUGAAAGGUUUUCUAAUCUAAAAGGACUUGGUGACCUUUCCGAGGAGCUAGUUAAGACAAAAAAAACACUUUCAUUAUCCUCUUGUGUUUCAUCUUGUGAAGUUUGCAUUGCUUCUGCCGGUCGCCGCUGCUACAGUUGAAAGAGCCUUUUCGGCAAUGAAGUUGAUCAAGAAUGAAUUGAUAAAUCGAAUGGAUGAUGGUUUCAUGAGCAAUUGUAUGGUGCCUUAAAAAAAUAUUUAAUACUUCAAACACCACAAUCAUGCCCGCUCUUCUAAAUGAGCAUGAUAUUGAUGAAUCCUCGAUGAUUUCCCAAUCAACCAAGCCGAAUACGAGAGAUGAUGCAAAAAAGAAGGACAUGGUACUAGAGUCGGAAGAAGAAGCCAAGAAAAUUCCUUAUGUCGACUUUAGCAAAUUUCAGAGUGAGGAUACCAAAAUGGAGACAACUCCGGAAUUGGUGAAAAAACCUCAUUCUAACCAUUUCUCAACAAUAAGUGCGGUGGAAUUGAUGAAAAUCAAUCCAUCCGAACAAAUCUUGAAUGAUGAUGAGAAUGAGUUAUUUCCUUACAUCCCGGAGUUUGUCUUUCCAAAAGGGUAUACUAAAACCCCAAUCAUCGUAAUCGCGCUUUUUGUGCCUUUUGAAAUCAACCAAUGCUGUGAAUAUAGCGAUGAAGAGCAUCAAAUGAUUGAUGGCAUACUUUUGACCUAAACAUGCAUGAGGUCCAGUUCCAAAUACAAGAAAAUUCUUCUUGUAAAACCUGUCCUCCUGCCUCUCCUCCAUAAACCUGUCAGGAUCAAAUUUUUCUGCUUCAGGGAAUCCCUGUAAACAGGAAUCAUUAAUUGAUGGGAACACAAUGGUUCCUUUUGGGAUAUCAUAAUCGUCAGUCAACUGGAACUCUUCCGUUGUGAGGUGCGGAACCAUAGGCGCUGGUGGUUUGAAUCUAAGCACCUCGAGCGCCACUGCCUCCACGUACUUCAUUUCCCUAAGCAUUUCGCCGGUCAGCGGCUCAUCAUGAGAUUUCGGCUUCCAGAAUCUCGCUACUUCUGUACGAACUUUCUCCAGAAUAGUUGGGUGAGUAUCCAAAAGUGCAACAGCCCACAGUAGAGAAGAAGUAGAAGCAUCUAGAGAUGCAAAGAGGAAAUCAAACAGGUAACCUCCGAGUUCCCUGUUGGUGUACGCAGUUAGAUUUUGUUCGUUAUGGGCUUUCAAAAUUUCCACCAUCCAAAAAUCAAUCAAGCACGUAGGUUCUUCGUCGCUCUGCAUCAUCUUCUUUUUGCAAUGCUCAGUGCAGACUGUAAGGGUAUCAAUUAGUCUGUUGUAUGCAAACCUAGCUUUUCGAAAUGCGAAACCAGGGAAAUCAAUAGGAAUUGUCGUCAAUCCCACAUUGAAGUCAUUGUAAUCGACGUUGAAUUGCAUUGCUGAUUCUUCAUUCAAGUAGGGACCCACAAAUAUGGUCUGGGAAGUCUCCAAGUUCAUGUUGCGGAUGAGGAAUCGAAGUGAGAUUGGUUUGGUAGGGGAUUUAGAUGCUUCAUUAUCCAACCAGGACUCGAUGUGUUUAAUAAUAAUCUUCUGUUGGAUGGCAGCGUAAGUUGCAAGAGCUCUUGGGGUGAAGUUCGUGGUUGUUAGACGGCGAACAUCUUUGUGUUUCUGGCCAGACAGGUAAAUCAGGUUGUUCUCCCCGAAGAGCUUUUUGCCAAUAGGAUGACCAAUAAACUGGAAUGCAUUGGCCCGUGCAUUGUUAAAGAUUUUGCGAGACAAUGCAGGAGAGCUGAUAUAGAGAAUAUGAAUCCACAAAUGACAUAGUUUGCUGAGAACCCAUGGCUAGUUGAUUUGGCAUAUGAAGAUUGAACUUGGCAGAAUUUGGUAGGAUUUGUGACCAAAGAAAUUACGUUGCCAAAGAAAGGGACAACUAGAGUUGGACCAGGAAGAAAACGCUUCUUUUUAAGGUAAGAGAGAUUUGCUCAUGAACUAUAAUAAGGACUAAGAAAGACAACAAGUACGGUGUCCAUAGGGACACAAGAGCCCAAAUAGAUGCACUGUCCAUUGGUUGCCAGUGGCCACACGUACAGGAAAAAAGAAAAUGCCUUGUACAAUUUUUGCCAUAUACGGUUAUAGUUGUAAAUAUAUACCACCACUAUAAGCAAUUGACUUCGAUUAUAAAAUGUUUUCUAUUGUCCAACGCUAAACUAAGAGUAAGUUGGCAUCACGUAUGGGUACAAAUUAAGAGUUGGCAUCAAGUAGGGGCACAAAUUAAGCUUUGACUGUUCAUAAAUUGAAUGUAACUUUUGCCUAUCCAAUUUUCUAAUUCCCACCAGUUCCAAUGUAGAAUUAUGUAAUUCAGUUAACAAUAGGAGUCUAAUCUCGUAACUACUCAAAUUGGGGGAUAUGUUUGGCUAUUCAAUUUUCUAUUCCCACAAGCUCCACUACAGUCAAAUUAUUAUAUAUAUUGCUCCCUCUGUUUCAUAACAAAGAGGUAUUUUUAGUUUGAAUACACCUUUGGGAAGUUUAGCAAAUUAUAUGUGGAACCCGCACGAAGUUAGUUUAAAAGGAAACAGAUUGGAACUUUAAUGGCACGCCAUUGUUAUGUGAACUUUGAAAUCUCCUCAUCUCCAUUCUCUUGCUUAGCUUCUCCCUUUGGGCUGCCUCUUUUUUUCUUCUUAAUCAUGUUUUAAUUAAUAUUCUAUUGCUAUCGAAUUUCUAUUCUUAGUUAUCUAAAAUUUAGGCAAUUUAAUUAUAUUAUUAGGUUAAAAUUCAAUUAACUCGAUAAAUGGCAAUGUCCUUCCAUAAGAAGUGGAUAUGAGAAAUGCAAUUUUUUUGUUAGCUAAGAAGCUUGGUGUAUAAAGGAAAGGAUAUUGUAUAGGUUAAUCCUUUUUUUCUCUUCGAAAUUUUGUGUACUUGUUUUCAUGUUUGAGGUUUGGUCCAAUGUCCCCCUCUAACUCUGUAACUUUUGUUGGAUGAUAGACAUGGUUGGGAUCAAGCCUAAUCCCUAACCCUGGUGAUGGCUUAAAAAAAAGGUAAAAUAAGAACAAAAUAAAUUUCUUUUUAAUCUUGUCAAAUCAAAUGAAAAAUGAAAGCAACACUUAUUUUAAAACAGAAUGAGCAUUAAGGAUGCAACAAAAUGUUGAAUACUCCGUCUGUUUAAAAAGGCCGGUCUACUUUUCUUUUUAGUCUGUUUAAAAAAUAAUGACUCCUUUUCUUUUUUUGGGCAAUACUUUAAUUUCAACUUAUCAUGUGACAUGUUUAGCACCACAAGAUUAAAAAGUAUUUUGGUACAUUUGACACAACUUUAAUUUAAAACCACUAGAUUCAAAAAUUUCUUUAUUUUCUUAAACUUUAUGUCAAGUCAAAGUAGGUCUAUCUUUCUAAACGGAAGGAGUAUAAUUUUUUAUUUCAUCUCUUAUACAAGUAGAUGGGAAAGCAAAAUAGUUGACCAAGUUAUGGUUGCUUCGUGAUUAAGAACCCCAUUGAUUAAUGACGGGAGUAUCAUUAUCUAUGAUACGUUCAUCUAAUCAUUACUUGUCAAUGACUAUGGCAUUCCAUGUCCCUAUUUAAUGUGUGUCACGUUUGCCAACUUGUAUCAGGAGGAGGCUUAUCCUUCAAGGAGUAACAAGCUUUAUUCUUUUAUAUCUCUAAGUUAAUGUCGCUUUUAUAUUUAUAAGUAAACCCUCAUACAAAUUUACAAGUGGAUGCGGUUGCGUAUAUGGUUGCCAACUUUAGCAAAAUAAAAAAUAAAAUAAGGAACUUUUUAUCACUUAUAUAUUUGUAGAUGCAGAAGAAAUUUUUGUUCAGUAAGCUGGAAGGGAGCCUAAUCCUACAGUGAUCUCUAUUCAAAGAUCAAUCAGUUUGACCAAAGGAAGUUAAUGGCAAGUAGGCUUAGGUAAUUAUUCAUCUAUUAAUUUCAACUUCUUUUACCUAAGUACAUUUCUAUGCAUGCACUUACAUGGGAUUAGGCUUUAUUAGCCGUGAAUCUGUACAUAUAGGCAUAAAUAAAAAUGCAUGAAUUUGGCAAGGAUACAGGAUUGAAGAUUAAUGUGAAUGUAUAUGCGUCAUUCAAAAUAGAAUAAAGAAAAAAAAGGGAGAAAACUAAAUCUGUGACUGCGUAUAUAGCUAUGACACAAAUUUGAAAUGUGAAAUUAAUUCGCGUCUGUAAGACACAUUACCGACGUGAACCUGUAGGUAGACUGCUAGUUAGCAAAUAAUCUGAGCAUGAAAAAAAGGAUUUUUGUAAGGAGUUCUUUUUUGCAGAUUGGUAGGUAAAGUGACUAGCUGUAAUAACGGGUGCUGCAAGUGGCACUGGUGAAGCAACUGCGAGAUUGUUCGUAGAACAUGGAGCACGUGUGGUCAUUGCUGACAUUCAAGAUGAACUUGGUCACCAAGUCGUGUCCUCCAUCGGAACAGACAAGGCCUGCUACCGACACUGCGAUGCAACUGAUGAGAAACAAGUGGAGGAAGCUGUUGCCUAAGUUGUCGAAAAAUAUGGUACCCUCGACAUAAUGUUCAGCAAUGCGGGCACCCUUGGCACUCUUGGGAGCAUUCUCGAAAUGGAUAUGGCGAUGUUUGUGUUAAGGCAAGUGGAGUUUUGAUGAUAGACAUAUGAAUAAAACAUGUUGUGAAAUCUGGUCCAUUCAACUGUACAAAGAAAAGCUGCAAGCAAGGUUGUUGGUAAGAUGAUACUGCGCAUAGACAGGAGUGGAUAAGCAAGAAUAUUCAGGAACCUUCUCAAACACUUAUCACUUCAGUAAAGUGGAAGAAAAAUGCAACAUUCAGAAGUUGAGUUGAUCUAGAAGUCCAACAAUGAGAAGAGUUCUGCAAGGAUAAAGGAUAAAGCAAAAAGUCCUAUUUAAUCAGGGAAGGAGAAACGGCUACAACAAGGAGUGAAGUUACUUAAUAGGGGAAAAAGGAGAAAGAAGCAUAAAUCAACCAGGACUCUAUUACAGGUGGAUCACCAGGGUGCAUAUAUACAACAAAGCAUGAUCAAGUAACUCACUCAAGCACAAAAAAGAAAAUCAACAAUCAGCAUAUCAGUUCACAUACUUGAAGAAGAACCUGGUCUCUUACUUAGCAAGUUGUAGACUUUGUGUAGUAGGUAGGUUCUUUGAGUUGUAAUGAGUCAUUGUUCUAAUCUCAGUGAUCUAUAAACUGAGUUAGGAAUUGUGUCUUCAAGUUUGGGAACUCGAAGACUCGGGAACACUUAUCUUGGGUAGAUUUGUGUUUUUGUAGUGAUAGGAGUUAGAAUUUUUAAUUCCUAGUUUACAAUAAAUCUUGUAAUUCUGUUGAUUAUUGAGGCUCAAGUAUUAUAAUGAAGUUGGGGUUAAAUCCUGUAGAAGUACAGGUCGUGAUUUUUUACACCUUUCUUGAGCCGGGUGUUUUCCACGCAAAAACACUGUGUUCAGUAUUUACUUCUAUGAACCAUGUUUACUUACUUGUUCCACAUAUAGGCAAUUAGUAGAGCUCGUACUCUAACAAGUGGUAUCAGAGAGAGGUUGUCUUAAAUAAGGCUUGUACCUAAGAAAAGAUCAAUAUGAUGAAUUCCGCACCUCCUACUGGUCACAGUGAAGGUCAGUCAACUACUAGAUCUCCACUUUUUUAUGGCUCUAAUUUCAUCUGGUGGAAAGCAAGGAUGAAGAUGUUCAUUCAAGGAGAAGAUUAUGAAUUAUGGGAUAGGAUUACUGAUGGUCCCACUAUUCCAAUGAAGACGACUGAUGGUGAACAAGUCAAGAAAGUAAGGAGUGAAUUUACUCCUGAUAACUUGUUGGCUUUGAAGAAAAAUGCAAAGGCCAAGAACAUCUUGGUUUGUGGACUAGGACCUGCUGAAUACAACAUGGUAUCCACUUGCACUACUGCUAAGAAAAUUUGGGAUGCACUGGUAAAUGCUCAUGAAGGCACUUCUCAAGUAAGAAAAUCCAGGAUCUCUCUACUUUUCACAGAGUAUGAGCCAUUCAAAAUGAAGGAAAAUGAAACCUUGCAUGAAAUGAUGACAAGGCUUACCACUUUAACAAAUGAGCUGACUUCCUUUGGAAAAUUCAUCUAUGAGGAACAACAAGUUAAAAAGGUUCUGAGAGUAUUACCCAAGUCAAAAUGGAUGUUAAGGUGACUGUAAUCAGGGAGGCAAAUAAGGAUCUUGAAGGCAUGACUCUGGAUGAACUAGUAGGGAACUUAAGGACUUAUGAAAUGGAAGUUGAUGGAGUUAAAGAACAAGCAGCUCCUGAGAAAAUCUUAGCAUUGAAAGCUUCUGAUAGUGAUGAGGAAUUUGAACUUGAUAAAGAGCAAGUUGCCUUCAUAACUAAGAGCUUCAGCAAAUUCUUCAAGAAGAAGAAGGUAAUAGGUACUAAGAAACGUUCCAAUGACAAUCCAGAUGGGUGCUACAAAUGUGGCAAAACUGAUUAUCAGAUUAGAGACCGUCUGGUCUGGGAAAUAGAAUGGAAGAACGAAAGGGCUGAAAAGGAACUGAAGGCAAAAAGAAAAGAGGAGCAUGCAAUGAUAGCAGCCUAGGGUUCUGAUUCAGAUGAAGAUGAAGUCAAUGAAACUACAUUCAUGGCCCUUGGGGAUUCAGAUCUGGAUGAAGAAGAUGAGGAUUCUGAGGUAAGUAUACUUGAACUUAAAGAAAACUGAAAUUGUUCUCAAAGCCAAAACUUGUUUUCCUGAUGAGUGCAUUGAUUGAUGAUUUCCAAGAGUUAACCUCUGAUAGGGAUGAAUUGUUCAACAGUUUAACAAGUCUUAAAUUUGAUCUCAUAGAUCUAAAGGCUUGCUCAAAUACAGUUGACAGGGACAAUUGCAGUCACAAGAAACAGGUUGCAGAAUUUGAGAUGUCAAACAACAAUCUUAAGUCUGAAGUUCUCAAAUUAACUCUCACUGAAAAUAGAAAGAAGGCCAUGAGUAAAAAGCACGAAGAUGCUGAACUUGAGCUUUUUAAAUACAAACAAGAAUGCCAUGAUUUAAUUGGAUCUUAAAAGGGAAAAUAGGUGGACAAACUCCUCUAGAAUUGUUCACAAAUUAAGUGAGAAAAAAUUUAAUGAAAAGGCAGGUUUAGGAUUUCACAAAAGUUUUGAUAAUCCAAAAGAUUUGUGUUACAUUUGUGGAAACCUUGGACAUCCCACCACUAAAUGUCCAGUAUCUGCAAAAAGUAGAUUAAACAGUCAAAACCUGACUAACAGAUCUUAUCAGACCAAAAGGAACAAAACCAGUUCUGGUCAAAGAAACAGGUUUCACUACAUGUUGCCUACAUGGACUAGAAGAAUUUUAAUUCAUCCUUUCACUCAUAAACAGGACCCAAGUUUGUCUGGGUUCCUAAGGCUAACCUUUGAAUUCUUUUAUAGGAGAAGGUGAAAGGAAACAAAAGGUACUGGUAUCUAGACAGUACUUGCUCAAGACACAUGACUGGUGAUAAGAAAAAGUUUCUUUCACUCUCCAAAAUAAAUGGAGCAGAAGUUUCUUUUGGUGAUGAAAAAAGGGAACCAUAACUGGAAUUGGAAAGAUUGAUUCAUCUGAAUCAAAAGCAGUGGAGGAUGUCUAUCUUGUAGAAGGAUUAAAGCAUAAUCCGUUGAGCAUCUCACAGCUAUGUAAUAAAGGUAAUAAAGUUGUUUUUACUACUACAGAAGUCAAGGUAAAAAUGAUAGAUACUAAAGAGGUUGUGCUCAAUGCAAGGAGAUAUAAAAAUAUAUACAAAGCUAACAUCAUGGCACUACCAGGACCUGAGAUGACUUGUCUAAGUGCUAUAGAAAAUGAUCCCCUCCUUUAGCACAGAAAACUUAGUCAUGCAAGUCUAAAACAACUAAACAUACUUUCAUCGAAAGACAUGGUAUUGGGAUUACCCAAGACCAAGUUCAAGAAAGAAAUCUAUGUAGUCCAUGUGUAAGGGAGAAGCAGGUAAGAUCCUCUUUUAAGUCAAAGAACCAUGUUAGCACAACUAAGUGCCUUGACCUGGUUCAUGUAGACUUAUGUGGACUCAUGAGACUUCAAAGCAGAGGUGGAAAAAGGUAUGUGUUUGUGAUUGUUGAUGACUAUCCCAGGUUUACUUGGACUUUGUUUCUAGCCUCUAAAGAAUAUGCCUUUGAUGUCUUUGAAAUCUUCAUUAAGAAAAUUGAAAAGAAAUUAGGCACUUCAUUAGUUUUCAUAAGGUCUGACCAUGGUUUAGAAUUUGAGAAUGUUAAAUUCUUGAAUUACUGUUCAACAAACAGUAUAGAUCAAAACUUCCCAGCUCCUAGAACACCACAAUAAAAUGGAGUGGUGGAGAGGAAAAAUAAAACUCUGGAAGAUAUGGCUAGAACAAUGAUGCUUACAGCAAAUAUUGCUAAAAACCUUUGGGCUGAGGCAAUAAGUACUGCAACAUUAUCAUAAAUAGAUGCAUGAUCAGACCUUUGUUAGAGAAGACUCCCUAUGAAUUACUAAAACGAAGAAAGCCCAACAUCUCUCACUUUAGAAUCUUUGGAUAUAAAUGUUUCAUACAUAAUAAUGGAAAGGAUAAUUUGGGAAAAUUUGAUGCUAAAAGUGAUGAGGGAAUCUUCUUAGGCUAUUCACUUCAUAGUAAAGCAUAUAGGAUCUUAAACAACAGAACAAACUGUGUUGAAGAAAUCAUGCAUGUGAUCUUUGAUGAAUCCUGUGUUAAGACUAACCUGCAGAAAGAAAAUGAUGCUGAGGACAGGUUACACAACCCGUUUCAUUAACUGAAGCUACCAAAAUUGAAGGCACUUCAACAGAGGGAACUGAAACUGAAGGCACAGUGACAGGGAGAACUGUGUCACCAACUACCCCAGAACAAAAUAUCAUCAGUGAUCCCAGUAGCUCUCUAGGAUUGGUUCCAAAAGGGUACAAGUAUCAAGGAUCACAUCCUAUAGAAAAUGUUCUCACUGAAUUCACUUCUGGGAUUACUACAAGAUCUAGACUGAGAAGUUUGUGUGCUUUCAAGGCAUUCCUACUAGAAAUAGAGCCAAAGAAGAUAACUGAAGCAUUGCUUGAUGCUGAUUGGAUCAUAGCUAUGCAAGAAGAGCUGAAUCGGUUUGAAAGAAACAAAGUAUGACACUUAGUUCCUCUUCCAAAAGAUAGAUCAGUAAUUGGAACUAAGUGGGUGCAUAGGAAUAAAGUUGAUGAGCAUGGAACAGUUAUAAAAAAUAAGGCAAGGUUGGUGGUCCAAGGAUAUAACCAAGAGGAAGGAGUCGACUUUGAUGAGACUUUUGCUCCUGUAGCAAGACUGGAAGCUAUAAGAUUACUUGUUGUCUUUGCUGCCUACAAGGAGUUUAUACUCUAUCAGAUGGAUGUAAAGAGUGCAUUUCUGAAUGGCUUUCUCAAAGAGGAGGUGUAUGUCAAGCAACCUCCAGGAUUCGAAAGCAAAGAGUUUCAUGAUCAUGUGUAUAAACUGGAUAUAGCCUUGUAUGGGUUGAAAUAAGCACCUAGAGCUUGGUAUGAGAGGUUGUCAAAGUUUUUACUGGAGAAUUAAUACGAGUACGAUCACGUAGAUGAACUUAUGAGGGCAUACGUUAGACCCGAGACUUGGUGUGUGCAAUGAAGUGCAAAUGAGCACCUAAAUGAACACCAAAAUAGUCCACUACAUACACUUAAAGGGCCAAAUCAGUCCACUACAUACACUAGAGGGGUGCCCCUUCACUAAGUGGCCUUUUGGUCAUUUUACCUAUUAUUUGUAAUACACUAUAAAUAGAAUAAUGUAGGGUUUCAUUAGGAUAUUUUGAUGAAUAUUAUGAGUUUAUAACACUUGAAACAUUUCCUCUCUAAGGAGAGAAGACCACCAACCCGAAAUUGUAACUAGGGAAAUCACUUGAGUGUGGAAUCGCUCGUGUUGGAUUCAAGCUUGGAAACGUUAGAUGCUUGGGAGAUCAGGGUCACUCUUAUGCCAACGUAAGAGUUAGGUAGUUGAUGUGUGUGAUGUUAAAGGUCCAAGAGUGGAAUAGGAUUUUGGGUUGUUAAUGUUAUACUUUCAAUUUGUCUAACUAUCUAUCAUUUUGUUUCUUUGUAAUCAUGCAGUAGUGUUGAUGUUGUAACCGUGUGUUUGUGUUGUUAAUGUGGAACCCAAAAUUAGUCUAUUUUUCAUCUUGUUCUUGUUGUGUUUCUAUUGUUUUGGUGUUAUUACGCCCUUGUGCCUUGUAUUCUUCUUAUUGGUAACGAAUCUGAGAGGGGUCACCAAAAGAGGUCCUCAGUUUCUUGGCUAGUGGACUAAUUUUGGUGUUUGUUUUGUGUUUCCUUAUCUUUCUUAUAUUAAUAAUGGACAUACCAUAGGUAAAAUUUAUAAUACCCUUUUCUUGAAAACAAUGGGGAGGAUUUGUUAGUUGUGCAGGUGUAUGUGGAUGAUAUUAUUUUUGGCUCAACAAAUAUGAGUAUGACUUAUGAGUUUGCCAAACUCAUGAGUUGUGAAUUUGAGAUGAGAAUGAUGGGAGAGCUGAAUUACUUCUUGGGUUUGCAAAUAAAGGAGUCAGCUUCAGGGACAAUGAUUCACCAACAGAAGUAUGUCAAAGAGCUUCUCAAGAGAUUCUCCAUGGAAGAGGCAAAAGAGAUAAGUACUCCUAUUGCAACUGCCAUAAAGUUGGAGUUGAAUGAAACAGGUUCAGAUGUAGAGCAAAAGAUGUAUAGAGGUAUGAUUGGGUCAUUAUUGUACCUCACAGCAAGUAGGCCUGACAUUGUGUACAGUGUAGGGUCAUGUGCCAGGUUUCAAGCAAAACCUAAAGAAUCACAUCUAAAAUCUGUGAAGAAAAUCUUCAGAUACUUAAAGGUAACCAGUGAUCUUGGCUUAUGGUAUCCCAAAGGUAGUAACUUUAAUCUGAUAGGUUACUCAGAUGCUGAUUAUGCAGGAUGUUUGGUGGACAGGAAAAGCACUACAGGAAUGACACACUUUCUUGGAUCAUGUUUGAUUACCUGGUCUACUAAGAAGCAAAAUUCAGUUGCUUUGUCUACUGCUGAAGCUGAGUAUAUUGCUACAGGAUCCUGUUGUGCUCAAUUGCUAUGGAUUAAGCAACAACUCAUGGACUUUGGUAUAGAUGUUGGUUGUGUUCCUAUUUUUUGUAAUAAUUCAAGUGCUUGUAACAUAGCUAAAAAUCCUCUUCAACAUAAGAGAACCAAACAUAUGGAUAUUAGACAUCACUUUAUUAGAGAUAAUAUUGAAAAAGGUCAUAUAUCCAUUAUGUUUUAUUCUACUAAGGAACAGAUUGCUGACAUUUUCACUAAGGCCUUGAGUAGAGAACACUUUGAAAAAAUUAGGUUAGCCUUGGGGAUGAUUAAAUUUGCAUAAGUCCCCCUCAAUGCUUGACUAGAAUAUUUUGAUUUUACAAGUGAUUGUUGGUUAAUUCAGUCUCACACAUUAAGUUGUGUAUCCUAAGUCUAAGAUUUUAGAGUAUGUUGACUCAUGUGUGUGUUGAUUUUGCAGAAAGCUUUGAUCACAGAAGCAAUUUUGUCUAUUUUGUCAUUCAAGUAUGAUUAUUAUUACUUCAAAGUAGCUUAAAGAGAAACAAGUUGUUUUCCUGGUUCAUUCUUGGUUCAUUUAAACCGCCAAAAUAAAAGAGUCCCUUCCUUUACAAAAAGUUGUCACUUUCUUUCCCAUUAGAACUGUAACACUCAUUAUUACUCCUUUGUCAAAUACAAUCCCUCACCUUUUAAACUUCUUCAUCCUUUUCUUUUAAAUACGCUUUCGUUUGUCUUGAUUCUACACUACAAAUUAUUUGCACCCUCCUCAUACUCAAGAACACUUUCCUGGUUCAAAAAUGGCAUCAUUUUCUUCAUCUUCCUCUUCUUCUUCUUCCUCCUCCACUAAAUCUGUUCCAAAUCACUUCACCGCACUUAUCUUUCAUCCAAAUAUCACCUUACCUCUCUUAAUUCCUCCUUCAAUCUCCCAAAAAUUCACCGAUUUUGCUGCUUUCAGAAAUUUUCCAAACCCUUUUGCCCAAAUUUCGUCACCUUUUCCAUUCUCUUCGAAACCCCUCCUUCCCCCUCCUAUCCCACUCCAAAUUAUUAAAGCUGAUGAUAAUCCUAGUGACAGAGACGACCUUCCUAUCGCAGAGCUAUUCCCAAGAAGGUACAGGUCCAAGCUCUUAAGAAAACCCCUUUCUAUUUCCGUCAUUGUUGACAACACUGGCUCUCCAGAACUUUCUCCAAAUGUCUCUAUCCCUCAUACUUCUCAUACUCGAGGAAGAAAACAACGAGAAGAUACAUGCAUUCUUGGCCGAGUCUCUUCGAGCCAGCAAAAAAAAAAUGUGUGGCUACAUUUGAUCCCACCUCUCCUCAUGCAUCUUCUCCUGAUCUUCUACUUUGAUCUGUCAGAAAGACAAAAACCAUCACGCCCAAAGUUCUAAAAACCUCAUUGCCCACGAAACCCUCUUCUAAACCUACUCAAAAGACCUCCUCCUCUUAAAAAAUUCUUUCUACUGUCAAAGGAUCCUCCUUCUCAAAAGUUUCCCCUUCCAAGCCUUCUACUUGUCCCAAGAAACAGGUUACCCUACCUGUUUCUUCUGACUCAUCUGACUCUGACUUUACCCCAGAUGUUACUGAUGAGUUGGAACCUGAGUUUGAAGUUCCCCACUUAUCUUCUCUUCAAGAUACUCCUGAGGCUCAUCAUCUUCACUUUCAAAAGUGAAAAUUAUCUAGAAGGAGGGUAGUUAGUGGUUUUGGAGGACCUAAUAUGCAAGUGUUACUGGAUAAAUUGGAGUUUCAAGGUUGGUCACUUUUAUUUCUUCAGGUUGAUCUUCAGCGUAGAUUUGUUAAACCUGAAGUAUGUGAGUUUUACACGAAUGGGGUGGGAAUUGGUGAAUUGUUCUCUACUAUUGUCAGAAAGGUUACCAUGAACCUUUAUGUUGCUGACAUUGCUAGGAUUUUACGUAUUUCCUCUGGGGGGUGGGGUCACUACGUCAAGGGUGUUUGGUCUCCUCUGGAUAAUCUUGCCUCUGCCCUUGACAUAUGUAGAAAGUUUUCUGAAAAUCCUAACUUGCUCCACCAUAAAAGAGUCCUUAAGAGGGAGAUGUCCCCACUACAUCAACUUUAUUUUAAUUUGGUCCACAAAAUGAUUAUUCCUAGAAAGGAGAGACGGUGUGUGGCAAGUUUGCUUGAUCUUACACUCAUGGAGCUGUUGGAUACUGAAGUACGAAUUGAUCUGCCUCGACUCAUACUAAAGCAUAUGCAAAGGGUUCUAAUCAAGGAAGUGAAUGAACAUGCUCUACUUUAUCAAUUCUGGCUCACCCUCAUAUUUGAGGACUUUGGUGUUUCUGUUCAAGUGUGGUCUUCACAGACUACCAAAGAUAUCAUAGGGCAUAUGAACCAUAUGAUGCUACCUGUUUCCAUGAAGAGUGCUGAUAAUCCCAUGCAACGAUUGAGAAAUUCAUUGGUUGAGAAACAAGCUGAGGUGGAAAUUGCUCAGGCAGCUUUGGAGUCUACACAGGCUGCUUAUGAAGAAGAAAAAGGGAUCCUCCAUGCUCAAAUUGCUUCCCUUAAUUCCUUGUUGGAAAAAGAGAGAGUUGAAAAUGCAGAUGUUAUUAGAAAACUCACCUCUCUUAUUCCCUCCUCUUCUUCUACUUAGCCUCUUCAUUGAUAUCUUAAGCCUAUCUCCUUUUGUUCCUUUUCCUGACAGUUUGUUCUCUCUUAGUUUACUUUUUGAUAUAUGUAGUCAUCUCUACAAAUGAAUGAACUAGGCUUAGUUGUUUUACUGUUUUCUGUUCCUGUUUUCUCAUAUUGCAUUCAUGUUCUCUUAUUCUGAAUUUUGAUUAUCUUAGUGAUAGCCUCAAUGAAUUAUUAGACAUUUUUCACUUGUUGAUUUAGCUUUUCGAUGAUGUCAAAAGGGGGAAGAGUAGGCUAUGCAAUGCUUAUAACUCAAUGACUAACCUAUUUCAUUCUAUGCUAGUUUUUAUUCAAAUGCCUUAUUGAGUAUGUCAGGGGUCUGUGAUGUUGUGCUGCUAUGUUUGUCCUGCUAUGUUUGUCAUCAUCAAAAGGGGAGAAUUUAUUAAGGCAUAUGGAGUUUUGAUGAUAGACGUAUGAAUGAAACAUGUUGUGAAAGCUGGUUCAUUCAAGUGUACAAAGAAAAGUUGUAGGCAAGGCUGUUGGUAAGAUGAUACUGCGCAUAGACAAGAGUGGAUAAGCAAGAAUAUUCAGGAACCUUCUCAAACACUUAUCACUUCAAUAAAGUGAAGAAAAAUGCAACAUUCAGAAGUUGAGUUGAUCUAGAAGUCCACAAUGAGAAGAGUUCUGCAAGGAUAAAGGAUAAAGCAAAAAGUUCUCUUUAAUCAGGGAAGGAGAAACGGCUACAACAAGGAGUGAAGUUACUUGAUAGAGGAAAAAGGAUAAAUAAGCAUAAAUCAACCAGGACUCUAUUACAGGUGGAUCACCAGGGUGCAUAUAUACAACAAAGCAUGAUCAAGUAACUCACUCAAGCACAAAAAAGAAAAUCAACAAUCAGCAUAUCAGUUCACAUACUUGAAGAAGAACCUGGUCUCUUACUUAGCAAGUUGUAGACUUUGUGUAGUAGGUAGGUUUUUUGAUUUGUAAUUAGUCAUUGUUCUAGUCUCAGUGAUCUAUAAACUGAGUUAGGAAUUGUGUCUUCAAGUUUGGGAACUCGAAGACUUGGGAACACUUAUCUUGGGAAGAUUUGUGUUUUUGUAGUGAUAGGAGUUAGGAGUUUUAAUUCCUAGUUUACAAGAAGUCUUGUAAUUCUGUUGAUUGUUGAGGCUCAAGUACUAUAGUGAAGUUGGGGUUAAAUAUUGUAGAAGUACAAGUCAUGAUUUUUUACAACUUUCUUGAGCCGGGUGUUUUCCACGUAAAAACACUGUGUUCAGUAUUUACUUCUGUGAACCCUGUUUACUUACUUGUUCCACAGAUAGGUAAUUAGUAGGGGUCGUACUCUAACAGUUUGACAGGACAAUGGCGGUCAACACACGCGGAUCAGCAUUAGCCAUGAAGCACGCGGCUAGAGCGGUUCCAUCAUAUGUACCGCAAGCAUAGAGUUGAUUCUGGCUGGUGCAGCUCCAUUAGCCUAUGAGGCGUCAAACCACGCCAUUCUAGGCGUGGCAAAAGCCACGGCUCGCGAGCUGGGGCAAUAUGGAAUUAGGGUGAACUGUGUGUCGCCUUAUGGCAUCGCUACGUCAAUUGUAUGCAAAACGUAUGGCUGCGAUGCUGACCCCCUUGAAUCUUCAAUAACUGGACAUGCUAACUUGAAAGGUGGUUACAUUGAGCACGAAACACAUCGCAGAAGCAGCACUUUUUUUGGCGUCGGAUGAAUCGGCUUAUGUUAGUGCUCAUAAUUUGUCUGUCGAUGAUGGACUCAGCUCAAUUAUGCAAUUGAAGUAAAUCUACUUGUUAGUGAGUGCAAUUCACAUUUACUUAAUAAAUGCCAAGAGGGAAAAGAAUAUCCCCACUUUCUCCAAUUUAAGUAAGCCCGAGAUGGUGUCUUGGGAAUUUACCUUUGAAUCGAUGACUAUUCUGACUUUCUUUGAUUAUAUCCAAAUUUAAUGAUAAUAUAUUACUUGUAUACUUCCUCCCUUCAUUUUAAAGAUUAGUUUGACUAAUCUUUAAAGCUAAACUAAAUUAAAUAUUUUAAGUGUCAUUGCAACAAAAGAUCCGAUGGUUUGUUUCCCUAAUUCUUUAGCGGUGAGCAAUCUUGAUUUCAUCAAGGGGUUCAUACCAACUUUAGUGUCCUGACAUUAUCUUUCAACCUCCAUGGAGUUUUGGUAUUCUUAGUUAGCCAGUUAAUUAGAAGUAGAGAGCUACAUUCAAUUUUCAACUUCUAGAACUCUUUCUUAAUGCACCACAUGAUUCCAGUCUUCACGGUCAGAAGUUUCAGCAAAGCUUCUAGUCUCAAUGCCAAGAGGCAUAUUACAUAAGCCACUAUGAUCAUGCCAUUCGUAUUUCUAAUAAUUUCUCAACCCCUCACUUGUCCCUAAAUUACCUUUGAAGCAUCCAUUAUUUGAAUUUAUGUUAGUCCAUCCAGUGGGAGGUAGACUCUGAUCCGUUUGACUUGGAUGACAUUUAUCGCCAGAUUAAUUAGUGUUGUCCAUAAGCCGAGGAGAUGAUUCCAUUUCAUAAAUGUUGAAUGAUGGAAUUGUUAUUGAAUAAUGAAAUUAACUUGUUAUUUUUUGGCUAAUAUUCAUGAAAAUGAUUCUAUUAGAUGGCAUUCCGACAUAUUCGUCAAAUCGUUCUUGAAGAAAUUCCACUUUCCUCUUUUCAUUUUCUUUCUUAUGUGCGUUUUGUCUUUUCAGUUUGCUUUGUUUUUGUUUCUUGGUUUUUUCUGAUUUCUUUUAUUGGGCUUCGAUCUGCCUGCACACAUUUUUACCAAUAAAAUUAGGAUAAACACCAUAAAUUUCGAUACUUUCAAGUUUAGUUAUAGAAAAUUUUACUAUUUCGCAUAAUUACAAAAAAAUUUAACUUUAAAUCUGUCGAGAUACAUAAUUAGCUUCCGAUACAUCCAACAGAGAUACAUAAUUAAUUGAAAUUUUUAUAAUUACUUUGUAAAAAUAGAAUUUGUGGAAAUAUGAUAAUUUAAGAUACAUAUUUGUAUUACUUUUCCAUAACAUUAGCCAUUUGGCCUCUUCGAUUUAAAAUAAAAAAAAAAAAGGUAGGAAGGAGGACCAAUAUGAAAACAAGGAAGAAACCAAGGCCUUAUGGUUAUAUCUAGUACUAAUAAUUAAAGCAUAUUUUUUUUGGUUUUCCAUCCGGUGUCCGUAUUGGAGCCCCAACUAAUUCGGAUCACGUGUUGCAGGGCCCAUUAAGGAGGCGACGCUCCCAACAGAGUUUUCUUCAUACCCAGGGUCGAACCCUCGACCUUUGGUUAAGGGUGGAGUAGCCUUAUCCACUGCACCACAACCCAUGUUGGUGCCUAAUAAAAUAUUUUUGGUUGGAACAAUGACGGAAAAGUCAUUUUGUUUAAAGUUUCCUUAAAUAUUUAGUAAUUUUAAACUUUUAAUUUAUACUACUAGUUUUGAAAAUUUUCAAAUAAGGAUACUAAUUCAGUCACUUAAUUUAAAUAAUCAAAAAAUCUAAAAUGUCAUAUUUUAGAAUAAAUUAUCAGCCACUCAAAUGUAAAUUCUCAAGAAACAUGUUUGGAUGUAGUACAAGUGAAGAAAAUAUAAAUACUUCUUUUUCAAAAAAAAAAAAAACAAUAUAAAUACUCACUCCGUCUUUUUUUUAGCUGUCAAGUUUUCUAAAUAUAAUUGUUCCUAAAUACUUGUCAAUUUAAAAGAUUAAGAGAUGAUUAAUUUUUUUUUCCAACUUUGUUCUUAAAAUUAAUUAUUCAAGGGCAAUAGAUAAAGAUUAAAGAAUUGAUAUGGAAUAUAUUUGUCAAAUUACAAUCAUAAUUAAUUUUUUAAGGAUAGUAUAAAGUUUUAUCAUGAUGACUAAAAAGUUAGGUAAAUGUAUUUUCGCCUUCAACUAUUGUGACGACUCACCAAUCUAAUACUCAAACAAACACUAGCAACGGAUACCCGAGCUUAAGUGGAUUUCCCCUCCUAGGGGUUUCUAUAAACUCAACACGGAUGGCUCCAACUUGGGAAAUUCAAAAAAAGGAGGUAUAAGGGGAGUCAUUAGAAACUCUAACGGGGACUGGGUUAUGGGGUUUUUUCAAAGUUUCACGUGCACUACCAAUAAUUUUAUGGAGCUUAGGGCAUUUAGAUUAGGUCUUAAGCUGGUUUUGGAGCACAGCCUAUGCCCCAUUCAAAUUAACAUUGAUUCUAUGGAGAUCAUACAAAUACUUACUAAACUAAAGGGUACCUACUCUAUAACCCUAUUAUUGAUGAAUGUAGGUUGCUCAUUGCAAGACUAGGAGGCCCACCUGUUCACCACAAUUACGGGGAACAGAACAAGAUAGUCAAUGUCCUAGCAAAGGACGGAGCCAAGCGGGAUGUUUUUGAAUCAAGUCACACAUUUGGAACUCCUCCAUCAUUUGUAGUCCAAACAGUUUAGGCAGAUAUGGAAGGAACAGGUGUUCCUACAAAUAUUUCCCCCUGAACUUUAUUAGACAUCGCUCUUCAAUUUCUGUAUUGGAGUCAGACUAAGGCUCUAAACCGUCUUCCUUUUUUGUUUUCUUAUAUUAUUACAGGUCUCGUACAACAACAAAAAAAAAAUACCCGAGGACAACCCUUUUUGCUGAUCCUGUGGAUCCAAGUGGACCAAUGAUAAUAUGUGUUUACUUUUAGGACCAAAAAAAAAAUAGAAGAUUUACAUUUUGAAUUGUUGUUAUAUUGUUUUAUAAUGUGUUGAUGUAAAUAUUUUUAAUUUCCUCGUGUAACUAAUGGGUAGACCAACCAAUCUAUACCCUACAAAACACUAGAAAGGCUCUGUGAGGACAACGCCACAAUGACCCCCCCUUUUUCAUCACGAUCUACUCUUUACUGAUCCAACUGGACCAAUGGUGAAUGACACACUUGUUUAUUUGGUGUUACAUAUUACUCAAUAAUGUGUUUAUCAUUUUCUUUCAUUAUAUAAUGUCGUACAUUAAAAAAAUUUAAAAAUAAACUUACAAUAAAAAAAUAAGGUAUAAGGUAAAGUGGUCAUAAAAAGAAGGGAUAAUAAAACAUAAAAUAGGGUUAUAUAAUAAGACUUUACUCAUCGAUAUGACUCUAAACUUGUUUUGAAAUUUCACUUGAAUCCUUUAACUCAGACUUGUACCUAUCAGACCCCUAACCUACCCAAAAUUUAAAUUAUUUGAAUAUUUUUUAAUCAAUCAACUAAAGGUAUGAAACGAGUUCAACACACUUGCGAUGACAUGACAAACUAAUGAAUAAAAUGGUGACAUUUAGAAUUAAAUUCGAAAAUAGUUAAAAAGUAUUUCUUAACUAGUUAAAUUAUAAGUAAAAAAUAAUUAUAACUUUUUUUUUUAAAAAAAAAAACAGCCCCUAAACACCCCCCCCCCCUGCCCCACCUAUUCAUAAUUUGCAUUUUUGACCAAAUCAUCUUCAUCUUCAUGACGUAUUAAAUUCAAUCAUGCAUGCUGGUUGUUUUAACGCCCCCCACCCCCUCCCUUCAUCUCCAUUUUUGUUGUAACCCGUCAUUCGCCGUAACCCGUCAUUCAUCAUAGGACUCAAAAAACCUUCGGCGUAACUCAAUUUUUUCUAGUAAAUUCUUCCUCUUAUACAAUGACAAAUAAGAUAAGAAGAUAACUCAAAAUGGAUUGAGGAAAAUAAAAUAGUUUGUUGCAUUAUGAAAAUACCAUUUUAAUUUUUAUUUUUGAAUCAAAUUUACAAUUUUGUUGAUUUGUAAAAAAAAAUUACAUUUUUUCGAUAAGUUUCUAUUUUUUUCGGCAAAGUCCCAUUUUUUUAUAUUUACAUCUAAAUUUUUUGACAAACUUAUUGGAUUUACAUUUUAAUUAGAGUGGCGAUGUUUAUUUGGAGGUAGUCGAAAAUAGAGAUGAAAGAAUGACGGAAAAGAAUUAAGAAUAAAAUCGAACAAAAAACAAAAAAAAUCAAAAUUGAAUUCAAACAUAAAUUCAAAACUAAGAAGAGUAAGAAGAAUUAAGUUUUCUUUAAAAAAAAAAGAGUAAGAAGACACCGGGAAGAAGAUGAAGGAGGGCGAGGGGGAGUAGGUGUGGGGGUAGAGAUAUUUAGGUUUAGUUUUUUUUUUUUUUUGAAAAAAGAAAAAAUUAUUUCGCUUAUAAUAUUUUGGGGUCAUCAAUGCCAUUUGUCAUCUUUUGAUUUGUGAUUUGAUAAAAAAAAGAUCUAGGUGAAUCAAAUUUUAGGAUGAAUUAGGGAUCUGAUAGGUACAAGUCAGAGUUGAAGGGUUCAAAGUGAAAUUUCAAAAUAAGUUUAGAAUUCUAUCGAUAACUUAAGCCUAAUAAUAAAGGCAAAAUGAGAAAAAAAAAAAAAAAUAACAUGUAAUCACACUAAAUCAAUUGUUAUAUGUAAUGCAUGGAUGGGUUGUAUUGUCUUCAACAUGAAAGCGUAAGAACUAAACGGGAUUCCCUUCUUUGUUUGUUUGAUUCGAAAAAAAUGUAAGAAACAUGGUAGGAUUAUUUUUAAAAAGUAAGAUAGGGAAUAAAAUAUAAAAUAAGAUUAUUAGUUAAACAUAAUGAGAUUUUAUUUUAUUUUAUUUUUUUUAAAAAAAAAGAUAAAGUAACAAUGCAUCACUAAUUGGUAAACAAAUUGAGACUUUUCAUUGGUGCAACCAUUUAUUAACACAAUAAACUACGACAGUAACAACCUUCCCAAACAAGUGGAUUUACUUUAAUCUAGCCUCAUAAUUGCACUAAGUCCACCAUCGACAGCUAAAUUUUGACCACUAAUAUAAGCCGAUUCCUCCGACGCGAAGAAUAGCGCGGCUUCCGCUAUAUGCUUCGUGGUUAGGCUAACACCUUUCAAGUUAGCAUGUCCACCUACUGAAGUUUCAAUGUAAGAGGCUUCAGCCCCAUAUGAUUUACAAACCAUCGGCGUGGCGAUGCCGAAAGGCGAUACACAAUUCACUCGAAUUCCAUUUUUACCCAGCUCACGCGCCGCGGCUUUCACCACGCCAAGGAUCCCAUGCUUCGACGCAAUGUAGGCUAAUGGAGCCGCACCAGCUAGGAUCGACUCUACACUUGCGGUGCAUAUAAUUGAGCCGCGGAUGUUUUUAGCUACCAUGACUCUAGCCGCGUGCUUCACGGCUAAUGCCGCUCCACGCGUGUUAACAGCUAUUGUCAAGUCAAAUUCCUUCACAUCCAUAUCGAGUAGGCUUCCGAAUGUGCCGAGCAUGCCAGCGUUACUGAACAUGAUGUCGAGGGUACCGUAUUUUUCGACAGCAUAGGCGACAGUUUCCUCGACUUGUUUCUCGUCAGUUACGUCGCAGUGUCGGUAGCAAGCUUUGUCUGUUCCAAUGGAGGACACGACUUGGAGGCCAAGUUCAUCUUGAAUGUCAGCAAUGAUCACGUGGGCCCCAUGUUCAACGAACAGUCUUGCAGAUGCUUCACCAAUGCCACUUGCAGCACCUGUUAUUAUAGCAAUUUUCCCCUCUAACCUGGUGCCACAGAAAAAAAAAAUCAUAUCAAUAAUUAGAUGUACAAGCUAAGGUUUAAUAGACCUUGUAUAAAAUGCAAGAUUAUUUUCUCAUGCAUUUUUUGGAGGUAUUAGUUAAUCCAACGAUUAUUUACAGUAUUGUGAUGAAAUAAGUUAUCAUAUACAUGUUGACAAUAAAUUUCAAAAUAUCUCAAAAUAAUUGAUCUUGAAGUAACUUAUUUCCGACCAAACGACCUCUAAGUACUAUAACGUGAAGAAUCUAAAUCGAUUGGGCAAGAGUAUCUGACCCUCUAACCUUUUGCCACAAAUUUUUAUUUUAAGUGCAUAUAUAUAAAAAAGAAAAUGGAAUACAUGUGUACACUAGAGACGUCUUGCUGGUGAUGAAAAGAAAUUGAAAUUGAAUAUAGGAAUUACCUGAGCUUAUUUGCCAUUGGAAGACAAGCAAUUUUAUUGCCGCGACGCCGCCGGUGACUUGAUUUUUUGGGGUUUCUUCUAAUUUUCCGACCAAACAAUUGUGUUGGAUCUACAAAUAUAUAUAUAUAUAAUAGACUACAAUGCCUGGCCCUUUUUUUAUCAUUUAAAAAAAAUAAAAAAUUUGAGUCUAUGAAGUACUAGAGUCUAAUUUAGAGCAUACUUAGCAGGUUUACUUUUGUAAAAUAGGUAUUAAUACAUACUUUAUUAAAGGGGUGUUAAGUCAAUAUGGAGAGAGUACUAAGUAUUUUUCUUCUGUAACCCCUUAUAGAAAGUAUUAACUAAAAAGAUUAUUUGGUUAAAUUUAUUUUAUUUAUUAUUGAAUUUUAAUUUAAUAAUACUUUCUUUCUCAUGGUCUAAUCACUCUUCACAUAUACUCCUUAAGUACCGGUAAAGGUAAAAGAAACUAGUGAUAAAUAGAUAAAUAGCUACUCAUGCGUUUAGAUUUCUUUCUCUUUAUUUAACUUGACACAAGAUUAAAGAAAAUAAAGAAAUUUUUUAAUCUUAUCAUAGUAAAUUGAAAAAAAGAAAAUAAAGAAAUUUUUUAAUCUUGUACUAUUAAAUUAAAGAAAAGAUAUUGUAUUUAAAGAAUUACCAAAUUAGAAAACAAUCAUUCAUUUUUAAAAAAUAUAUUUUAAUUUAUAUGAUACACUUUUCUUUUUAGUUUGUCCCAACAAUAAUAACUUAUUUCAUUCUUAUAGGAUAAGUUAUAGCCGUUCAAAUAUUAUUACUUAUUUUAGACCAUACAUUUUUUUAUGCAUUAAUUCAAACUACAUCACAUGAAUAAAACAGGAGUAAUAGUUUCAGUUAACUGUACCUUGAGCUACGCAAAAAAAAAAAAAAAAACAUGGGAAGAGAGCGGCAAUAAUACAGGGAUCCACAUAUAAUUGUUGGCAAAUCUGAGACAGUCAAAACUUAAAAAGGCAUGAAAUACGCACUAGCUUUAGACAAAUUAUCAGUAACAGUAUUUUUUUCAAAUAAAAUAGGAACUAUUGUUUGCUUCAACCACAAGUUCACAUCCAUGAUCUUAUAAAUUAUAGUGGGAGUGGUAUUUUUUAAAGCUACAGUAAGUCUAAUAGUCAAACUUAUGCUGGAUGCAGUUAUGGACAUUUAAUAGGCAAAGUAUGCACAUGGAUUACUUAAUUAAAGUUUGGCAGGCUAUAAUUAUAUCAAAAUCUAAUUGAUUUUAAUAAUAAUAAUAAUAAUAAAGUAUUUCAUUCGUUCCCAAAUAAGUGAUCGAUUAGCUUGGACACACCCCUUAAAAACAACUACACAAUAUAUUUUUUACUAAUUUAUACUUAAUAAAUACCUUGAAAUAGAUGCAACUUUUUAUUAGUUUCUUAGAUUAUAAGACCCAAUAAUAAAUCCAUUUAGGUUGUUGAAAUUGUGUAAAGACGUAAUUCACGUUAUUAGUCAUGCCUAGCCUCUCAAUUAUCCAUAAAUAUGCAAUGUGUUGUUAUUAAUGAUCAUAUUUUAAAACAGGGGCAGAGAUAAGGAUUUUUUAUUAGGCGGUUCAAAAUCUGAAGAAAAAUUUAUUGAUGGGGGUUCAACAUCUAGAAUAUAUAAAUAAAAAUUAUUUUAAUCAUGUAUUAAUAAUAUAAGUUUUUAUCGAAGGAGGUUCGUCUGAACUUCUCUUUAAUAGGCUAGCUCCGCCUCUGUUUUAAAAAGCUUUUUGGAUGCGGAGCUUAGUGAAAAUACAUAGGAGAUGAUUUGUAGAGGCGAAAGUAUCAUGAGGUGGGGUGUAAGCUUCAUCAGUAUGGACGAACGUUAUUUUAAGUGUUGGAGGAGUUUUUAUUAUGAAGAAUAAGCCCAAAACCUUUCGCCUAAUUAAAACUAAAAUUAUGGACUAAGUCUUUUAAAUUAAUACUCAUUACUAAAGAAACACGAAAUUUAAUUUGCUAUUAAGUUAAAAUUAAAAUAUUAUUGAAUCUCAGUCCUAACUUUUAUUCUUUAUCUUUGUCUUUUACCAAAUUAAGAAAAAAUGAUUGAUAUGAAAUUUGCAAAUAAAAAUACAUCAUUCUUUAUCAGGUGCUUUGAUAUAUACUUCUAAUUGUAAAUUUCUUUUCCACUUUUUCUUUAUCUUAAUUUAUAAAUUUUUAACUUGUGUGCUCAAGUCAAUUAUUAAUAUGUAAUUUAAGUUUAUUUCUGAUUUUGUGGUGCAUAUAAGUUAACUAGAUAGAGUAGAUUGUGCCAAACUGUCAGUACGGAUUCAAUGUAUGUUCCUUAGAGGUCUGUAUCGAUAGGUUUGGUUCGAUUUUAUAAAUUAUCGAUUUGAUUUAUCGAUUUUUGAUUUUCAAUUUUUAAAUGUACUAAACCAAUAACCAAACCAAUAAGAUAUUUUUUAUCGGUUUUCGAUUUAUCGGCUUUUGAUUUAUCGAUUUUUAAUCCUUAAUGGUUCGGUUUUCGGUUUAACCGAUAAGAAAAUACUCAUAAAAUAAAAAUAGUAGUAACUAACAUGAAAAAAAAAUGAAUUUUAGUUACAACCAAAAAUCCUAAAUGAUGUGUUUUAAUUUACAAGAAUCUUCAAGUUUAGACUAAAUGUUGUUAGAAGAAAUUAAGAGUUUGUAUAAUUGAAAUAACAAGUGUUUUAAAUUUGUAGAAAUUAAAGAGGAAUUAAGAGAAAUAUAUAAUAAGUCAUAUAUAUAUAUACACACACAUUCUUAUUGGGUUAUCGGUUUACCCAAUAACCCAAUAAGAAGAAAUCAAAUCGAACCAAUAACUCAAUAAUUUUUUUCUAUAAAAUCAUUAAAAAACCGUUAACCCAAUAACAAUAAACCAAUAACAUUUUUAUCGGUUCGGUUUAUCGGUCGGUUUGAUUUUUGCACACCUCUAAUGUUACUUAAUUUUAAUUUAUGUGACACAGAUGAAAGUUGAAAAGUCAAUCAAAUUUUUAAAUAAUUUUUAGAUAUUUUAAUAGAGUAUUUUUACAUAAUUUUCAGAUACUGUAUGUUACUUUUUUUGUUUCAACUUGUGUGACAUUGAUAAAAUAUUUGAGAACGUCAAUCAAACUUAUUAUAUAAUUACUAUAUAUUUUAAGCUGUUAAUAUUAUGUUUUAUGCAACUUUCUAUAUAAAUUCUCAAUUUAUAUGACAUUGAUAGAAUUUGAAAAGUCAAAUCACCUUUUAUACCUUCAAAUAUUUUAAUUUAUUAAUUAUUGUGAUUUAUAUUACUUUUCACGAUAUUCUUUAAUUAUUUAAUUUGCUCUAUCUCAAUUUAUGUUGCACCGAUAGAAUUUUGAGUCAACCAAAUUUUUUUAUGUGUCUUGAAACAAUUUAAAUUGUUAAUAAUUAUAAUUUAUAAACUUUUUUUCACAAUUUUUUUAAAAACAUAUAUAUAACAUAUUAAAAAGAAAAAGAAAAUAAUUAAAAUAAAACUAAAAAUAUAAAAUUAUAAAAACACUCUCAAUCAGAAGCAGACGAUCGAAAAUAGACAUGACAACCGCUGUCUGCCCACUCUCGCUCAAAUAUUGUGGACAGAGGCAUUAAGGUUUAGGGACCCAAAAAAACGUGUUUUAAAUAGUUGCUCCAUUUCUAUUAUGAUUGACUGAUUGAUUGUGGCUUGUGGGAGGAAAAGAAGCUCACAACUUUUUUCAUUUCUCAAUAUGAAUUNNNNNNNNNNNNNNAAAGAAAAAAAAAAGGUUAUAAGGUGACGAACGCAAUUAAUUAAGCUAUUAAGUUUUUUUCUUAGUUGACAAUCUUUCUAUUUAUUCUAUCUUAUUUAUAUUCUUAAUUUCAAUUUGAUUGAUCUGUUUUUUAUUUAGUCACUUUUUUGUUUCAUGUGCAGCUUUCGCGAAGGAAACAAAGUUGCAGACAAAUUAGCGGCGUACAGUGAUAUUCACAAAAGAAAAAGCUCAUAUAUAUUCACUGCUUUUGUGAAUCUUCCAAAGGAAUGCAGGGGUCUAGCAAGAUUAGAUAAAUUAAAAAUGGUGUCAUUUAGAGUCAGACAAUUGAAAUAUAAUAUAGGAAAAUUGGUUUUGAUCCUCCCUAGUAGUUUCAUUUGUAUUAGGAAAUUUUGUAAUGUUGGCUAUGUAACAAAGACGUUGGCCUGUCGACCUCUCAAAGUAGAUGAGCAGGACUCCAAGCCUACUCAACAGUGUACAUUUCUUCGUACAUGAAAAGUACCACGAAUUUUUUUUUUUUUUAAAAAGAACACACACAAAAAAAUUCAAUAUACAAAUAAAAAAAGUUUAAUAAAAAUGUUUUACCGUGCAUUUAGCUCAAUUAUAAAACAUCAUAUUAGUAAAGAAAGGAGAAGAAGAAACAUGCUUCGGAGUUUCUUUCUUUCUUUCUUUAUUUUAAAUUUGAAAUUAAAAUUAAUUCAAAUGGUAUAUAUAUGAUGGUAGGACUCGGGACUCAGGACUCCGGACCAUUAAAAAAGAAAAGAAAAACAGUGUGAUUGACAUUUGACAAUAAGAACAUGUAUGAUUCAACCAACGUUCUUAAUACUCUUGCAAGGACCAAAUUGUUCCCCAUGAGGAUGACAAAAAUCAAAAACUUUUCAUUCUUUCUUAUAUAGAAUGUAAUAAUUUUAUUUUUUUAUGACAUGCACGAGAAAAUAUUACUUAGUAAUGAGUGGAGUGGAGUGGAGUAGAACAUGUUUUGAGAGUUUUUGAUUCGAAAUUGAAAUCGAUGUGCUAAUCAGGAACAUAUGGAAAAAAAAGAAGGAAGACGAGAAAAUCUGUAUGAUUGGCAAUAGGUUGAAUAGUAAUACUAGUCCUUAAAUUAUUAUGUUAUUUUAGUUUUUGUCUUUUUAUUAUAGACUGAACAUAUUAAAUAUUCAAUUAAUUGAUACCUAUAGUAUUCGUCCUUCAGACUAACGAAUAAACGAAAGUUAAAAAAAAAUCUAAUAUCAUUAUUAUUUAAAAAAUGAAGGUUCCCUCACAUGACCUCCACCUCCAAAAAAAAGUCCAUGAAAAUUAAAGUAGUUCACCUUCCGCUGUUGACUUCCUAAGAAGCUACCAAAAAUCGUAUAAAAAUAUUUAGCAAUAGAAACUAUCUUUUUCAUGUUAGAUAGGAAUGCUGAGACGGAGAUGUUCCUAAUAGCAUCAAAAAGAUUUAUGGCUUAAUAGGUUGGGGCGGGUAAUUUAAUAGAUUGGUCGGAUAAAUUUAGUUGGAUGUGAGUUUGAUUAUAAAAUAAUAUGAUUUAAAUUAAUUUAAUCUGUAAUCAAUAAAAAAUUGACACAUAAUAAAUAAAAUUUUUAAUUUUAAAAAAGAAUCGUUAGUUGUAAGGAUAUAUUUAAUCCAUAAAGGUAGAUGGAGGAAUAUUUUUGAUCAAUAAAUAAACGAAAAAUAUUUUUAAACCAGUUUUAAUACUUGAAGUGAUAAAAUUCUGAAUUCUCUAUUAUUCAACUUAACUUAUCUCUCUAACAUACACUUUAUAACGUUCAGCUUAAUGUUUUCACCUCAACUGACCGGCGGACACUGACGCCGCUGACGGCGUAGACGAGCCGGAAGCAGAUAAGAUCUACCUCUCUCUCUCCCUCUCUUUCUCUCUCUCCCUUCAGAUCGCUCUCCCCAGUUCCUCGUUAUCAUCUUCCCCACCCUUUCCAUUUCUUUUCCCGUCGUGACUAUCGCCGGUGGGUUUAGGUUUCUCGCCGGCUCAACUCGGGUAACGGGGAGGUAUCCAUAAGCGGCCAAACAGGUAAUCAGAUGAGUUGGUUUGACGUCCUUCGACAUCCAGAUCCCGGCAAGUCCCUAAAGAUGCUCCGGCGAAACUCCGGUGACACUCCGUCGAUUUAACCAGCGGCCCCAUUCCAGUCGACCUUCUUCUGGAAACUAAUUUUCAACAUCAAAAUUGAUGGACCAGCAGCACACAGGCGUACCGGUGACAUCUAAACUUUGAUUAUUUCAUCACUCCAUAUUUCGGCACUUCAUAUAGUUUGAUUGCUUUAUACUAUUUUGUUCCCUGUCUCUCUUUUUGCGUUCGUUACUUGCUGCUAGUGAGCAUAGUUGUGACUGCCUUCUUUGCUUAGUGAAGGAUAUUGUUUGUAUUGUCUUUACCUGCUUUGACCUUUUCUUGAUUAUUUCAUAUACUGUACGUGUGCCUUCUAUUUCCCGUUGUUACUUUAUUACUGUUAUUGUGGGCAUUUUCCUGGACUUGUGGCUGUGGGCAUUGAUGGUAGGAUAGGGUCAUGUCCGAGGGGGUUGGGGCAGGGGGCUGUGCUAGGGGUGGGGGAGGAGGAAAGGGUGAGUGUGGGAGUGGGGGAUAGAUCUGGCGUUAGAAGAGGUAGAGGAAGACGUGGUGCUAGAGUGGAUAGGUUGCGGGUUGGGUUUUGGAAUAUAGGUACUCUUCUGGGUAAGUCUAUUGAGCUGGUGAAGAUUCUUAAAAAGAGGAGGAUCAAUAUUGCGUGUGUACAAGAGACUAAGUGGGUAGGGUCUAAAGCUAGGGAUAUAGACGGUUACAAGCUUUGGUACUCUGGUAGCGUGAGGCGUAGGAAUGAAGUUGACAUCUUAGUAGAUGAGGAUCUUAGAGGGCAGGUAGUAGAGGCUAAGAGGAUCAGCGAUAGGUUGAUGACUAUUAAGUUGGUCAUUAAGGGGUCUACCCUGAACGUGCGUAGUGUUUACGUGCCUCAGGUGGGCUUGGAUAAGGAUGAGAAGACGUAGUUUUGGGAGGCUUUGGAUGAGGUGGUGAGAGGAAUGCCUAGUUCCGAGAAGAUUGUUGUAGCAGGGAAUUUCAGUGGCCACAUCGAGGCGUUAUCGAGAGGCUUUGGCGAUGUGCAUUAUGGUUUUGAUUUUGGGGAGAGAAAUGAAGAGGGAGCUGCUCUGUUGGACUUUGCGAGGUCCUUUGGGUUGGUAGUGGUGAAUUCGAGCUUCCUGAAGAAGGACGAUCAUCUGAUCACCUUUCGAAGCGUGAUAGCCAAGACCCAAAUUAACUUUUUGCUGCUUAGGAAAGGGGAUAAGGUAUUGUGUAAGGACUGUAAAGUCAUCUCAAGUGAGAAUCUUUCGACCCAACAUAGGCUCUUGGUGAUGAACUUAGGUAUUAAGAAAGACAAGAAGAGAAGGGCUGAGGAGGGUAGACCAAGAAUUAAGUGGGGCGGUUUAACGCCAGCGAAUGCGCGGGAGAUUGGGGAGAAGGUGGAGGGUAUGGGGGGUGGGAGUGUAAAGGGGACGUGGAUGGUAUGUGGGAUACGGUGGCUAGGUGCAUCAAGGAGACUGCUAGUGAGGUGUUGGGUAUGUCCAGGGGCCUGGCUGGUCAUUAGCAGGGGGAUUGGUGGUGGAAUGAAGAAGUUAAGAAGAAAGUGGAGACUAAGAAGGAGACGUAUGCUAAGUUGGGUAAGAGUAAGGAUGAAGAUGACAAGCAGGCUAAUAGGGAGGAAUACAAGAUAGCUAGGAAAGAGGCUAAGUUGGCAUUUACGGCGGCUAAGACGAUAGCGUUCGAGAGAUUGUAUGCGGGGUUAGAAGGGAAAGAAGGGGAAAAGAGGUUGUUUAGGCUUGCAAAGGCUAGGGAGAGGAAUGGUCAUGACCUCGACCAGGUAAAGUGUAUUAAGGGGGAGGAUGGUAGAAUGUUGGUGGAGGAUGAUCACAUUAAGAAGAGAUGUCAGUCGUACUUUGAUAGGUUAUUGAAUGACGAAGGGGAUAGAGAUAUUGUGUUAGGGGAGCUGGAGCACUCAGAAGACUGUCGUGAUUUCAGUUAUUGUAGACGUUUUAAGGUAGAAGAGGUU
rnacentral:lncRNA from 1 species